rnacentral:lncRNA from 1 species
CGAACGAUGCCGUUGAGAGUUGCGACCAAGCCUGCUCUAGCUUCUGCAGCGUGCAUGUUGGCAGCGCCACCGUGGUUGCUUAAGCAAAUGCAUCCAACUAGAUCGUCCUUGUGCUGAAUAAUUGGAUAUCGUAUCCACUUAAAGCUGCCUUGUGUAGUACGUCUUUGUGUCUCUCUUUAUAUUCCAAUAAGGUCGGUGAUCUUGAUGCCACACACUCAGAUGUGUGUUCAUCUCCAGAUACUACUCCAUGCUACCUGCCCUUUGUGUUUUGUUCAAUAACUGGGUAUCAUAUCCCAGCCAGUAUGCCGUCUGUUUUGUGUUUGUUUCCUUCUAGUUCCAAAGGGGUCAUCAUGAUGUUACCUUCUUUCAAUAUGGUGCUUUGCAUGACUACUGUUGUAUGGUACCAUCUUGUGGCCAAUAAGUACAUCUUAUCCUAUGACCUUUGCUAUGACCCUUUGCAAAUAAGUAGAAGAUUGUUAUAAGCGUCAAUACUCCGUAUAAAUUGAUCGCUGCUGUGAGUUCCCUUUCAGCUUAUCGUAGGCAUACAUUAUUGCUAGCACGGUAAAGCCAACCAACACGAAUGAUGAAGUAAACGUAGCGGUACUUCUGUAUACCAACACCCUUACUUAAAUGUACCGGUGUCAUUCCCUACUGGCACAUAUAUUCUUAUAUGCUAGCCAGCUUGUAAAAUUAACCAAUUAAAAUAAUUAUUUCAAGAUAGAAAUAACUUAUCGGUUUCUGGAAGCAUGUGUAAUGUGAAUUCAAGGACUCGACGGAAGUUGAAUCACUUCAUCUAUAUUGCUUUCAGUAUUUUGGGUAACUAAAUUUAACAUUUGCACAUACAAAUGUUAAAGUACAAAUGUUAAAUCUAGUUACCCAAGCAGAAUAUGAAGAUAGUUUAUAGUAUAUAUAUACUAUAUAAAUCUAGUUAACAUUUAGUCUAAAUGUUAAAUCUAGUUACCUAAAAUCCUGAAAGCAAAAUGUAUAAAUAUAUAUCUUUUAAGGCAGUAUAAGCUUCGAUUCCUAUUGCUGCUCUGUUAAAUCUCAUCUUUCGUUGUGGCCCAACACUCUAGUAUGCAUGUUGCACCAAGCUUCUUUGAGCCGCUCUGCCCUCUGAUUUUGCUGCGUAGGGGAAUCUUUAUCAGGUUGGGCUACUUCCAGUUGUGCGAUGUAAAGAUUCGUAUUUUCUAGAAGGUAGACAAAAAACUCGCGUUCUCUUAAGGCAACAACCGGAAGAUUCUGCAGCGCACAGGGCAUACCAUUAUUGUAGAAACGACCUUUAGUACCGAUCUCCAACCCCCUUUAAAACUGGUUUUGCAACCGGUACCGUUAUGUCGGUCCUUUAGUACCAGAUCAAAUAAGUACCGGUUGGUAACCAGUAUCAACUUGUUUUGCGGCCAAAAAAAUAAAGAAAAAAACAGUCAGAAGGCUCGCGCACACGCGCAUCACAUGAAAUAUGCGUGUGCGGGGUCCAUGGGAUUCGAACCCAUGAAAUCAAGCUGCGCGCGACCCUUCGUUACCAUCUCACCUACAUAGCGCAUAUGCUUUCCUGAAGUAACCCGUGGAGGAGGCUUUAGUACCGGGUCAUAACACCACCCGGUACUAAAAAUGACUCUUCAGUACCGGGUCAUAACACCACCCGAUACUAGUAUCGGAUGGUGUAAUGACCCGAUACUAAAAGGCCUCUAGGGACCCUCAAAUUUGAACCCGGUACUAAUGCUAAUAUUAGUAGCGGGUCAAAGUGCAGCCAGAACUAAAGCAUGGGAUGAAAGGUCAUAUUUCUAGUAGUGUAUAGUUGUUGUGAAGGACUGACUUGGCUGUCCUCUCUCUUCUCCAUCCCCUUGGUCUUACGCCGCCGCUCGCACGCGAGCCGGUGCCCAACCAGAGGAGUGAGAGCUAGGGGCAGGUUGGGAGGUGGGGAUAGUGACUGGUGGCCAGGGUGAUGGUUGAUCCUGGUGGGGUUAGGGUUUUAGGGUUUUCGAGCUUCCUAUGGUCGGCGAACCUAGAGGAGGAGCUCAACAUCAGCUGCAACCCGCGAUGGUGGUGGUUUGGCCGGCGCCCGAGGCGAGGCAGCGCGGGAGUGCUGCCGGUGGGUUGGUGUUGGCACUCAUUAUUGACAACUAUUUUGUUCAUAAAAUAACACUCAAACUUGCUGCUGCUGCUGCUGCUGCCAUCGCCACCCUAGCCAUAAUAUAAAGGCAAAAUUUGCUAAAGGACAUGCAAAAUGAUGCUAGUUUGCUGGCGGGCAUCGUUGACCUUGUAAUAUGCUACAAGACACUCUAGUUGUGUAUCAAUUUGCUGAAAGACAUUGCUAUGACUAAAAUAAUGUUUCUGGACUGAGUUGGAGAGAGAGAUGGAGUGAAAUGUCUGUUUUGCCCAUGACCCCACUGGUCAGAUCCUUCUUCUUCCACCCUCCUUUGUUCUUUCUUCAACCAUUACCCAGCUCCAGCGUGUUGCAGAUCUACGAGGGUGGCGGCCUGGGGCGAGGGGCAUCGCUCGCCCUUGGAGGAGCGCUGCGAGCGACGGCGCGGGGGCGGCAACAGCGCGUCAGAACCUGACUGUUCGUUAGCUCCUCUCGCUGCUGGGGAAGGAGGGGGAUGGGCCAUGGACGGGGUUCCCUUGAAAACCUCAGCGUCGAGCUCGGGCGGCUACGCGCAGGCAGCACUAGGCUGCUUCACGGGGAGGGGGCGCGGCCAAUCAUUGGCACCCCACUGGUCCAAUGCUGAUGAAGAUGGUGCCAGCGUCGUGUGAGGACAUCUCAUCUCCUCGAGUUCCAUGGCCAGCACAGGUGAGCUGCCGCUACCACAAAACAGAGGUUUCGUGAGAGUCAAAAAACCUUAUGAAAAUAGCUAAAACCAUCAUGAAAAUAAUCCGUGACAUGACACUCUCACGAAAAUCCUCUCACAAAUAUGGUGCCAUGAAAAUACCAUUUUCAUGAGAGUGAACUGUCAUGAUUUUAUUUCGUGAGAGUAUUUCCUAUCAAUGACCUCCACGAAAUACUUUGUGCCACCAGGUCUUCAAGAUCAUUUUCAUGAGAGCUGAACAUCAGGAAAAGUCCGCCACAAAUGUUUUUCUUGGAGCCCCUAACUCUCAUGAAAAUCAUGCGGGCCGCCACGAAAAACAGCAUGACCAAAUGACAAAUUUCAUUUUCAUGUGUUCAUACCGCCAUGAAAAUGGUCAUUUUCAUGAGAGUUGAUGAAACAAAAAAUAGUGCCAUUUUCAUGAGAGUUCAAGCAACCAGGAAAAGACACUAAUAAACAUCCAGAUCCCAUCCAGCACACAUCCAUGCACAUAUAUAACCCACAUAUUGCUCCAGCACACAUCCAUGCAUAUACAAGAUCCAAAUGUUAAUAUAGUAGACAUCCAUGCCUGAACUAGUCUGCCACACAAGUCAUUGAUGCUACAAAUCCUACAAUCGCAGCAUGUGCAUACAAGUCACAGAAUGAGACAAUGUACCCAAAACUAAAAGGUUAGCAUCAACUGUGCUUCAACCAAAGUUGUCAUCCCAACUCUCCUCUUCAUCCAUGCCAUUCUUGUCGUGGCCGUCACUGUCAGUCCCCAUGGCAUUGCCAAUGCUGUGCAUGUCUUGGUAGGAACCUACAUGUGAUGAACUAGUAACCUGCAAAAAGAGCUCAAAGGAUCUUGUUCUCAUAUUGUAGCUGUGAAAUUCUUACAAGUAGUGUUGCAAUCAGUUCACUUUGAACCAAAAGAGCUCAAAGGAUCUUGUCCUAAAAGUUCCUCAUAAAGCUUAUGGGUUUGCUGGUGGAACUGGAAGGGCUUGAUGCAGCAGAUGCCAUUCUGCAAUAGAGAAAAAUUUAGAGAGCAGUACUAGUUAAAAUUGGAUGCAGAAGAUACACAUGAAACUAGUAUUUAUACAAGUCUAUACAAUUAAAAUCUAAGGAGACUUAUCAUCGUUUUCAUGUGUUGUGAAUUAAAAUAAUGAAGGAUACACUGUUAGGUGAAAAUUCAAGAAACAAAAUUUUGCAUAGAGAUAAAGGUCCAACAUUAUUACAAGUUAAGGUAGUUUUAAAUAUCCUUGUAAUCUUCCUUUGGUUUCCUCAACGAUUCGAAGACAAUAACCUUGCUUCUAUCAAUGAUAAUUAUAAGGAGAAUCCAGUGGAAACUGUGUAUUCGUAUUAGAACUACCUAAGGUUAAUUAGGUUAGGAAAGGAAAUUGAAAAUAGAUGGUACCCACACUUACUUAAAGUUGUCGGGCAAUAGUAUGUAAUGCUUGUAAUUCCGUUGCUCCAAGAAUUUGUAUAUGUGGUCCAAUGUAGACUUUGGUUGAUCCCGUAUCUGCUGUUGGUUAAAUAAGUGUUUCUAGCCAUUUCUAGCCAUUAGAACCGGGACUAAAGGGGGCUCUUUAGUACGGGUUGAUAUUACUAACCGGGAUUAAAGAGCCCCCAUUAGAGUUGGUUUUUGGAUGCGGAACUAACAACUCCUUUAGUCCUGAGUACGAAAACAACUGACAUAUUUGUUGCUGGAUGGAAGGUCCUUUCUCUACCGUGAAUAUUGCCAGAAAGAAUUGAAAGAGACUGCUUGCUAAAAAUAUGUCAUAGAUGUAGACCAAGCUACCAAGGAGGUAGACCAAACAUGAUACACACCAUGCGUACCUUGCUGUGCAGACUAUGCAUUGACAAGAUACCCGACCACAUGUUGGCCUCGGUCACAUCAAAAGAAUCAUGUAGGCCACCAAUAAACUACUUGAAGCGGCAUUCCGUAUCGUAUAUGCAUUGCCGGUUCAUCUGCAUUACAUUACAUAAAGCACUAUUAACUAUUUGAAUAAAAUGAACCAAUUUAAAAGUAAUGUGUUGUACUCUACUAUAGAAAGCCCUAUCACUGCCGGAUCCAAAAACAUCAUUGUUAAUGGUGGUUAAGUACCAAAUAUGACGGUCAAUAUUCUCAAGAAUAAUGGAGAAUUAGCAUUUCUUAGACACAUAUUUGGUUUUGAACAAUGUAGUUCCACAUGUCUUUGGAGAUUAUUUGGGUGUGGGUGAAAUAAUACAAAAAUAAGGAGAAAACACACUCCCAUGGCGAAGAAACACAACUCCAACCAAUGAGAGAUAGCCACAGGGGCAGCACACGGAUCCAUGGGCCCACUAACCGCAUCAAACCAUCUUACCAAGGCAGGUAGCACCCACAACCGUCAUUAGGACCCACCUGGAAGUCUACCAAGAAGAAGGUUGCGAGUGGGGCCAGGAGGGGUUCGGUUGAAUCAUCUCUAGCUAGCUCCCCUCAUCCCCAGCUGGUGGGUGGUGGUGGUUGAUGGUGUCCCUACAUCAGUUAGAGGAGAUUCCCCCAAAUAUUCCUCCUGUAAACCACCUCUAUGGACCUAUACAUAGAGGGGUGUGCUCUCCAUUCCAACACACACCACAAGUUGAAUCACUCUCUCCCUCUUUAGUUUCCAAGUUUAUGGAGUUAGGCUAGAGUAGCUCUGCUCAAGGUUCCAAGUCCACUUGGAGUUAAGCAUAUGUCUCUUGUAUCGUUAUUUCCUAAAUUGACUUUAUGCUUAGUUCUUAUAUGCAUGAGUUAGUCUAAUACCCUUGCUAUAUUGAUAUGCUCGGCUUAUAUGCUCGUAUGCUAGUCAUAUACCCUUGCUGUCGUAGUAUAGGCUUAUAUGCUCUCAUGUGUGCCUGUAGACCUUGCUAUAGUAUAUACUUGUUGUGCAUACAUACCAUGUAUAGGCUAGUCGAUCUAUACCAUGGCAUUGGUUCAAUAGCCAUGUUUUUGGUGGCUCCAACCCUAGUCACAAUAGCUCGGGACAGCUGGAGUGUUGUUAAAAAUGCAAGAGUGGUGCUUGGGUUGUUUAGCAUCGUUGGAUAUGGGUUUGCCCCACGGGUUUCUAACGGUAGGCGGCAGCUAGUGACAUCCCUGUCCGUCCUUCGUAAUCCCCCCACAUUCAGGUACGCCAUAAAUGUUCGUAAAUUAGCAGUAACUACGCCGGUACACCUGUAGGGUAUUGUCUCCCUGUAGUACCUUGGUGCAUAGAACUAAGUCCUAUACACUGUGUGUGUAUGUUUACGCUGAUAUGAUCUGUGCAGUAUAUAGGAUGUAUAUAUGAACCUAGAGCUAACUCCUAGUCCGUUCUCCAUAGCUUAGUUAUCUUGAGAUGAUUCUUCUGUAUGUGUAACACUACCCAUCUUAUCAUUAUCCUUGAUCCUGUCUUGUGUAAUAUAUCUACUCAUCCUAUGAUAUACUCAUAUGCAUAGUAAACUAUUUUGACCUACCCGCCUUCCUUUGGGAAAUAUGAUACCUUGGAAUAAUCCUAGGUGAAAUCCUACAACGGUAUAUCCAUGUAAAUGCGGAUUUAUUCAUGACCAUUAAAUAUACCAACAAUCAUCACUGUGAGUUUUGGGCGUCGUUAGUGAAGGGUUGGUAGUGAUGGGCAUCCCCUUCACCAAUGGACCUGGAACCGGCGGUGAUGGCUAUUAUAAAAAAGGGGACACCACCCAGCGUACCCCACGACCCGGCCGGCCGCACCUCCCAUCAUCCCCGCCAGCCGCCCUUCCUUUUCGCCGGCCGAGCAUGGUCCCGGCCUUUGUCCCUACCACCUCGCCUCCACCGCGACCCCCCGCCGAUGCCCUCGUGCCUGGCCCCCCUCAUCUUGCCGGCCACCCUCCCGAUGCGUCCACUGGGGCCCUCGCACCACCAACCGCCCUUGCUUAGAGAGGGAGAGAGAGGAGGGAGGUGAGGCCACGCACCUCGUCCUACACCGCCGCUGUUUCUCCUCGGCCCACCGCGCCUCACCCCACACCACAGCCGCGCCUUGCCAUCUUACCGGCUGUGACGCCUCAUCUCACCGGCCACCGUUCCUCACCCCCACUUCGGUCGUCGCCGCUCCUUGCCCUACCGCUGCUCUUUGCCGCUGCGAAUGAGCGCCGAGUGGAGGAGGAGGGAUGGGGCAGGAGGAGGGCAAGAUCCGGGAGGAAGGGAGAGAUCUCGGGAGGUGGAGAUGGAAGGAUAUGGCGGAAGGGAGAGAUCCAGAGGGAGAGAGCAGGGGAGAGAGGGGGGCGUGUGGGGAGAGAGCGCGUGUGGGGUGGGGCCGGGCUGGUGGGAUGGAAGGGAGAGGGGCUAGACGGGCGCAGUGCAUUCAACUGGAUGAAGUAAAUAUUUUGGAUUCGAGACCCCAGCUUUAUUAUCACCGCUGGUCCGUAGUACCAUCCGGUGCCUGCUCGUAAUUUAAUUUGAAUCUGCGGUGAUGUUUUAUUAUCACCAUCGGAUCAUAUAAAAAUCCGGCGGUUAAAAAUCCGCUGGUUUCGAUGAAAACCGACGGUGAUAGGAUGACUGUGAUAGUCUCUUCUCUAGUAGUGGUAUAUUAGUACCGGCUGCCGGAUGGUGUUGCCGACCAGUACUUCUCCGGGGGCGAUUCAGUACUGCUGUUAGCAAAGCUUGUUCUCUAUGAAUUUGGGGAUGGAAAGCUAGUUCUCUAGUUGUGAUUUGUUACAUAUAUAUCUAUGAUAGUCUAGAAAUUGCAUGUCCUUCGUUGACAUAGUUGAAGCUGCUUCAAGAAUUUACUUCGUGCAGUCGUGCAGCAUAUUGGAUUAUCACCUAGACAGGAUACAUAGGUGAAGCAUUGGAUGUGAUUGUGGCCGAUAAUUAUGCAGGACGCUGUUGCAAUCAACCACCAAGAAGUCUGGAGUGAUGGGGUUGCCUCAUCAAUAAUUUUUAUAUAUGGCUGCAGUAUUAUUAAGCCCACGUCAAUAAUUUUUUGUCCGCACCAUAUAUCGAUGGGGUUGCCUCAUCAAUAAUUCGCGCAACCAGACAAGCUGCAGACUCAAUAUGGUACGAAGCUAGUUGCUCAGCCCACAUGCUCUGAUAUAACAUUGACAUCUGCUGAUCUACAGUAUAUAUGACCAGAAAUAUUGUGCCCACCUCAAUAACUUUCUGAAGUAUCGUGGGGAAGAACCUACGCGUACUAUGCCUCGGAACUAACUGACAUAUCGGCCCAGGCGGUCUAGGCCGAUUGGACUGGCUCUUCCUUGUGGCUUCUCACAUCCCCUUCGUCCCCAAGUAAUUUCAGGUGUUCUGUAGUUUUCUUUUCACUUGCAUCUGAGCCUCCUAUAUCAAUAGCUUCGGGAUAAGAAUGCCUCUUGAUAACCUUCCAAAUCCUCGCUUGAUUCACAUUGAUUCCGAAAUCAUCUUGCCAUAUCUUCAGAGACUUAGGUCCUAAGGCAUCAUGGAGGAUUGCUCGCCAAGAAUGAGCACCAUUGGGCUCCUGAGGACCCUAGGCCGAUCAGCCCGGGCUCUAUAGGUCGAUUGGCCCAGGCCCUCUCUGGGCCUGUUGGCCUUCAUCUUUCUUUGAGUCGACGCUUAUUCAGGGCUUUGUCCAAUUAUAGUCCAUUAUAGUCUAAUUUCCUAAAAAACAGAAUGUCCUCCAAAAUACAAUGCAUAUGUGAAAACAACCCAAUUAUUAGGUAUGAUCAAUAGUUUAGGUAUUAAAUUAAUAUUAUUAUUUAAGAUAAACAGGGGUAAAGGGUGUCAUUAAUAACAAGCGCCAACAAGCGUCCUAGCUGUUCAAUAAAUUUUUUCUAGUACCGAUUGGUAACACUAACCGGUGCUAAUAUGUACCCUUUAUUACCGGUUAUUUUACCAGGUACUAAAGGAGACAAGAGCAUCCUAACAUAAGGUUAAUAUCAUCCAUUUCAUGAGUAAAAUACUAUGAUUCAAAAAUAAUUCAAAUCCCUUAAGACAAUACCUAUCAAAUGAGUAAAUUGUAAAUAGAGUAAUCUUGAUCAAACAAUGUCCUAAUGAAACGGAACACUUCUGGUUCGUGUAGAGCACAAUAUAGAAAACAGUAGGGUAGCUGUAUGAUUGACACGUGGUCCAUUAAUUAUUGAGCCAACACUAUGGACAUGUCUUCAUGAGUAGUGUACUAGUCAUAAUACAUGGUAUGCAGUAGGUGGAGGUAUUGACUUAGCCAUGCUAUGAGCACUUAGUUACAACAAACACUUUGCCAUUAUCGAGCAUCCCAAAUCACUACAAAAUCCAUAGUUUACCAUAUACUACAAAAUCUGAGUUAAAAUAAGAGCAUACACGGAAGAGUCCGAAUGCACGGCACAUUGAAUUACUAGACAAAAUUUAUGGGACAAGGUUUUGGGUAACCGCAUGAAAAAUAUUGGAUUUUACUGAACACUUAGUUACAAUUACCAUGCCCGUGAGCACUUAGUCACCACAAACAUUUAACCACUUUAGAUCAUCCUGAAUCCCUAUAAAUUCUAUACCUUACACCGUACCAUGAAAACGACAAGAACAGAGACAGAUGCGGUGAAAAUCUCCAGAGCAAGCCUGAAAUUAAAAUAAGAGGAGGCAGUCACUAUCGACAGGACACGGAGAUUGCUAGCCAUGACAGAGGAAGACAUGAUAUGAUAUUCACCUCUGAAAUGCAGCGUAGACUAAAUGAAGCACAAUUGCAAGUGAGUGUGGCAGAUAAUGGACCAUCGAGACCAUCGAAUGGUAUGAAGCAUGAUUAUCACCUAGACAUGAUAUCCUAGACAGGACGGUGAAUUGUAAAAAGAGUAAUCUUGAUCAAAGAAUGUCCUAAUGAAACGGAACAUUUUUGGUACGUGUAGAGCAAAAUAUAGAAAACAGUAGAGUAGUUGUACGAUUGAAACUGCAUCCAUCGACGUGGUGCAUGAAUUGUUGAGCCAACACUGUGGACAUGUCUUCAUGAACACCAUCUAGUGAGGACAGCAUGCAGAAAAAUAUAAAAACAUGUCAUAGGGAGGCAGACCAAUCUUGCGAGGUAGACGAAACGUGAUACACGAUCUGCCUACCUUGUCGUGUGGAUACCCCAAGUGAAGAUGUCAUAGAGGUGCAGACCAAGCUAGCAAGGAGGUAGAUGAAACGUGAUACACGGCCUGCCUACCUUGCCGUGGAUAUUAGUCCUGAUAUCAUUCUAUUGUUCAAGGAAUAACACUCAAUGCUGCUGCUGCUGCUGACCUGGCUCCAUAAAGUUAUAUUCCUCUAGCCGCUUGCACUAACUUUAUCUGAAGUAUUAUUCUCUCUGCACUGUAUAUAUGGUUACGGAGUUUGCUGGAGUAUCCGGGGGGAAGAACCUACAUAAUAUGUCUUGGAACUAACUGACAUUGAUUCACAGACAAGGUGCUGUUGUUGACAUGGUACAGUAAAUAAUAUAGUUUACCAUAUACCGUAUACCAUUAUAUGUUAGCUAAAAUAAGAGCAUAACAUGUCGCAGGAGUCCAAAAGCACCGGUUGAGGACCAGGUACAUUAAAUUACUAGAAAACAAAAGGGGACAAGGUUUAGGUAGCCACAUGAAAAACAUUUGAAUUUACUGUACCAUGAACACUUAGUUACCAUGCCGGGAGCACCUAGUUAACACUAACAUUUAGCCACUUUAGAUCAUCCCGAAACACCAAUGACCCUCAAUAGCGACAAAUUUUGGUUUAAAUGCCGUCACCAAUGAUCCUCAAUAGUGACGUGUUUAGGUUUAAAUCCCAUCACUAAUAACCCUUGGUAGUGACGUGUUUUGGUUUAAAUCUCAUCACCACUGAUCCUCACUAGUGACGUGUUUUUAGCAACACACGUUAUGAAUGACUUGUCAUUGGUGACAUGUUAAACGCGUUAUCUCAAUGGCAAAUCAAUGGUGACGUGUUUAAAAAAACAUGUCACUGUGAGAGUUAUUGGUGAAGGGUAAUUAAAAUGCAUCACUAAUUUUGUAGCAUUAGUUAUGAUAUAAUUUUGUAACGCAAAAAUCUACCAUAGUAAUGAGGUUUAGAGCCAUCACUAAUGUGGGUUUCUUAUCGUAGUGAUGCAAGCUCUACAAGGUGCUGUUGUUGCCAUUUUAAAGCAUCCCAAAUGACUACAAGAGUCCGGUUGAGGACUAAACAAAUUGAAUUACUAGAACCAAAUGUAUGUCCAGAACAAAGAAAGGGGUCAAGGUUUGGGUAACCGCAUUAAAAACAUUGAAUUUUACUGUACCAUGAACACUUAGUUACCAUUACCAUGCCUUGAGCACCUAGUUACCACAAACAUUAAUUUAGCCACUUUAGAGGUUCCACAAUCACUAUAAAUAAUAUACCAACACCGUACCAUGAAAACAUCAAGAAGAGAGACGGGUACAUGGACCACCAUCAAGUGAGUAGUGACAGCACGCACAAGAAUACCCGGAACCUUUUAGCUUGUCUGUAGUGAUCUGUUUUCUUCGCCACAAAUAAUGAAAGAGGCUGACCAAGCUAGCAACGAGGUAGAGCAAACGUGAUACACGUAGGUUUCAUUCAAGACAUCCAUGUAAGAUUCAUUCAAAACAUUCAUGGAAAUUUCUUGUAAGUUUUCAUGUAAAUUUCAUUCAAGACAUUUGUUAGAGGUGUUGUAUAUACACUUAACGUACAUAUAUCUAUGAUUUCAUGGUUGUUAGUGAUGGCAGAUGAGGAGCAUGCAAGGUGUUUAAUGGAGCAGAUUAUUGCUAGUGGUAGUGGCUCCAACCUGCCCGUAACGUACACCGACGAAGAGGGCAGCCAGGCGGACAUGUUCCUCAACAUGUCCGGUGAUGGCAAUGAAGAGCCCGAGCAAAACCUUGCCGUGACGGAAGGUUCCAUCGAGGUAUAUAUCAUUUCCAUUAUUUUACCCCAUCUAUAAUUUCAUAUUCAUUAUUACUAUGUGCUAAUUAAUGAAUCUUGAACCGUUAGUCCUCUAGAUCAACGAACCGAAAUAAGCCCCGAGGUCUUACAAAGAUAAUGCAGGGAAGGCUUCACAUCAUGGAAGUCACAGAAGAGGGCACAUCGGUUGCUCCCGAACAUGUGGCAAGAAAGUACGUGAGUCAAACCGGGGCAAUCGUAAGGGACAACAUGCCCAUCAGCAUCAGGGAAUGAAAGAGCAAUAGAAAUGAUCUAUACGCACCCCCGGAUACACAAAAGGAUAUGUUGUGGGCAAAUAUCAAGAAACACUUCACAUUUCCCAAAGGAUAUGUUGAAAAAUAUGUGAAAGCGUGGAUGUUGAAGAAGAUGGCCACCCAAUUCCAGACAUUCAAGAAGAUGUUGGAUGCCAACUUCAUCAAGAAGGGUCGAACUCCGGGUUUCAAUGAGUGGCCAAAGUUAAGGGACCACUGGGAGUCGUUUGUCGAAUACAAGACGAGCGAAGGUGGUGCGAGUAAGGUUCACAUCAAUGUUGCCAAUGCUAGCAAGGAGUACCAUCAUCAUCUAGGGCGACGUGGUUACAGCUCUGCAAUUCCCAGAUGGCGCAAGAUGGAACAAGACCUGAUCGAUCGGGGUAUCGUACCAGCAACUCUUGACUGGAUCGAUUGAAAAAUUGGUAUUAUGCUCAUGAAGGCAAUCUGAGCCAAGAGGAUCCGACAUUGGUCUUCAAUAAAACAAUACGUCAGAAGGUCGGAAGGCUUAUUAGGAACAUUGAAGAUGCUAAAGCUGGGAGGUUCAAGGUGGAUAGAGAGAAUGAUGAACUCACAUUGGCCCUCGGGACUGUCAUCUCUAGCACUUCCAGCUCCAGGACUAUCGUCACCACCGGGACCGUCGCUUCCUGCUCGAUCACAGUCUCCAUCUCCAGCACAUCCUGGUGGUGCGAGCGACGACGACAACAACACCCCUCCCUGCCCACCAUUGCCGGGACUAAGACCCGCAUUGAGUAAGGAACCUGCAACACCACUGAAGAAGUCGCGACCACCACCUUCAAGGCAAGUCAGCAAAAGAAGAAAGCAGAGAAGCCUAAACCCACUGAGAAGCCAGCGACUGAUAUGACCGAUGCGGAAAGAUGGAAGGCACUCAAAGAAGAAUGCAGGGAGUGGUUCAGCGAAGGCGAAGGUGAGAAAGUCGUAUGAAUCGAAUUCAAGGAUAUAUAUGAAGUGAACCAUCAGGAUGCCCUUGAUGUCUCUCUCAUCAGCGCCUAGGUUCUGUAAGUGUAUGUUUAUCUAUAAGUAAAUUUUGGCUCAUAUCAUUAUUUUUUUUGCGUGCGUCACCCUACUAACUUCGUCUUCCAUUUUAUGUAGGAUGCUAAUUCAGACGUGCCGCAUAGAAGCGUACUUCCAUGUUGGAUUCAUGGAUCCAUCCCUAGUUAACCAAAAGCCGAUACGGAAGUAGCUAGAGAAAACGUUGGAGGUGGUGUACAACCUCCUGGACAAACUAAACUACAGAAUAGGGGCAAUAUGUGAGGGUCUUGUAGGAUUCCUAGUGGACGAGGUGAUAAAUCCAUAAGGAGAAUAUCAUUCCAACGGACGAGCAUUAGACACACUGAGCAACACCUAGAUGGGAGGAUCCUAGGAAUGACCUCGACAGAUUUUGGUAUAAAUAGUAAUUGUGUAAAUACUAGUUUGAUUUGUAUAGGAAUAUACUAAGAAUUGUAUAUAUAGUAAUUGUACAAAUACUAGUUUGAUUUGUAUGAAUACUAGAUUGAUUUUAUUAUAAAAAAGUUUUAAGUCGUACGUGCAUGCGCCUACAAAGGCGCGGAUGCCUUUUAAUCCCAGUCGGAAAAACAAACUGGUACUAAAGGGGCUCGUGCCGCACCUGGCAUGACCACCCCUUUAGUCCCGGUUGAACGACCCAGGACUAAAGAUCUCCGCGUCUCAAAAAUUUUAUCUCGGAUGCUUUUUAGAGAGAUUUGAGGCCUAUCAACCAAGACUAAUAUCGAGUUUUCUACCAGUGAAACUAACUAACGUUCACAUGGUUUUGACAUUCACCUGCCAUUUGGUGUAGACAAGGGCACCCUAACAUAUGGUUAAUAUUAUUCUUGAAAGAAAAUCCUUUGAUUCAAAAUACUUCAAACCUAAUAAUACAAUACUUCUCACAUCUGAAAAAUAUGAGACGGCCCGACAGUAUUCUAAUCGACGCAAUAAUAUUUUGAGGGCAGCACUACUACAGCGACCCUCAUUCGUGCCGGUGCUGGGACUCCUAUCACGACCCUGAUACAAAUGAGGGUACAUUAUUGGUGCCAGUGCUAGAACAGCCACGAAUAACUUGCUAAACGUGCUGUUACACUCACUACAGGGACCAAGAAGGUAGAUAAAUUACACGACAUAGCCUUGGUUGCCGUGGAAGCGCCAAGAAGGGAGACAAAUUACAGGGACCACACCAUCAAGUAGAUAGUGACAAUAUGCAAAAGAAUACCCGCGCCUGUUAGCAUGUGAACUGACCACACCACGAAACGUGAUACACGGCAAGCGUACCAAGGCCUUGCUGUGCAGACUAUGCAUGGACAACACAUGGUACCUGACCGCUUUUGGCCUCAGACACAUCGAAAAACUGCAUCGUUCCACGUUGUACAUCCAUUGCUAGUUUAUCUAUAUUACAUAAUAUAUUAUUAGCUAUUUGAAUAGAAUGAACCAAUUAAAAAAUUGCGUUGUAUUUUUAGUACCGGCUGCAGGAUGGUGUUACCAACCAGUACUAAUUGGCCUGUAGGAGUGAUGGUUAUUAGACUUGGUACUGUUGUUAGCAUCAUUAACCUAAUUGUGCGCCGUAUGAAUUUGGGGAUGCAAAGCUAGCUCUCUAUGAAUGUGAGGGAUGGAAAGCUAGUUCUCUAGUAGUAAUUAUAUAUAUGACAGUCAAGAAAUCGAACACUAUGCUGCUACGAGUCACCAUCAUUUCCUUCAUUGACAAUCUGACAUAGGUGAAGCUGCUUCAAUAAUUUCCUUCGCGCAGUCGUGGAGCUUAUUGGAUUAUCACCAGGACGGGACACGGAAAUGGCCAGCAAUGAAGCUGAUUGCCGUCUGAGGAAGACUACAUACUUACCUAUGAAAUGAAGCGAUUGCAUAGACUAAUGAAGCAUUGCAUAUUUGCAUGUGAGUGUGGCAGAUAAUUCUGCAGGACAUGAUUGCAAUCCACGCACCAUCGAGAAGACUGGGGCGAUGGGGUUGCCUCAUCAAUAAUCACGUGGAUGCAUGCAUGCAUGUUCCCGCAACCGGACAAGGGUCUGAUAUAUGGCUAUAGUAUUACUGAGCCCACAUCAAUAAUUUCCACUGGUGUAUCGUGUGGGAAGAAUCAACAUACUACACCUCGAGUUCUUGGAACUAACUGACGUUCACAUGCAACCUCCACAAGGUGCUGUAUGCUUUUGACAUUCACCUGCCAGUUCGUGUAGAGAAGGACACCCUAACGUAUAGUUAAUAUUAUCCAUUUCAUGAGUAAAAUACUGUGAUUCAAAAAUACUUCAAAUCCCUUGAGACAAUACUUCUCACUUGACUAACCACUAACCAACCCCGAAACCCUAACUCAACUCCGAACCCUAACCCCUAACGGCAUAACCACUCCGUUUUGCCGGCGAGAUGGAGGAACUGGCUGGAAGGUAGAGAGGGCAGCGGUCCAGGGUUGAAAACGACGGGCGAGCGCAGUAACAUGUGGAGGAGGAAGUGCCACGUAUUCGUUCACCGCUAUUGGGCAGCGACACACGACACGCCCAAUAAGAUCUUCGCACGGUAGAAGGACGUCAUGUAUUCAAUAAUGUUAUUGGUCCCCCAUGUGCAGAAGGGCGCGCGCGUAUGGAAUAACAAGUAGGGACACUGCAACUAAUCUACUCUGCUCGUCCAGUCCCUAGCCUAUAAAUAGAUGCCAUGCUAGCUCUUGUUGUGCUCACAAUUAAUCCGAUUACACACGAGCUUCUCUCCCUGGCCAAGACACAACCAUAGUAUGAUGAAGAACAUGGCACUAGCCGGCAAUGGUAUGAAGAAGUUAAUCCUCGCUGUUCUCUUACUGUGUCUAGUUAUAGGGCAGAUACAAGUGGAAGCUAAGAGCUGCUGCCCAUCCACCACUGCAAGAAAUGUCUACAAUACCUGCCGUUUCACGGGUACAUCCCGUCCAACGUGUGCAAAACUGUCAGGCUGCAAAAUUAUCAGCGGGAACAAAUGCAAGCCCCCUAACGACCACCUCACCCUUGACCCGGACACUGGUAAAUAAUAAAUUUAUCUCACUUGAUUUCUUCGUGAUUUGAGUCGUUAAUGUAUUUUCCAUCUGAUGAAACGUAUUGGUUUUGCAUUGAAGAGGAAGUUAAUGUGCUUAACUUCUGCAAGUUGGGGUGUGCGUCGUCUGUGUGCAACAACAUCAACGCUGGUAAGCAACUUUUGCUCAGACAGAGAAAACAAUAAUCAUUAAUUAGCGGCAGCUAGAAUCCUAUAAUCUAAUAUAUAUAUAUAUAUAUAAUUUUAUCAGCUCUGGGAAAUGAAGAGGCGAACGAUGCCGUUGAGAGUUGCGACCAAGCCUGCUCUAGCUUCUGCAGCGUGCAUGUUGGCAGCGCCACCGUGGUUGCUUAAGCAAAUGCAUCCAACUAGAUCGUCCUUGUGCUGAAUAAUUGGAUAUCGUAUCCACUUAAAGCUGCCUUGUGUAGUACGUCUUUGUGUCUCUCUUUAUAUUCCAAUAAGGUCGGUGAUCUUGAUGCCACACACUCAGAUGUGUGUUCAUCUCCAGAUACUACUCCAUGCUACCUGCCCUUUGUGUUUUGUUCAAUAACUGGGUAUCAUAUCCCAGCCAGUAUGCCGUCUGUUUUGUGUUUGUUUCCUUCUAGUUCCAAAGGGGUCAUCAUGAUGUUACCUUCUUUCAAUAUGGUGCUUUGCAUGACUACUGUUGUAUGGUACCAUCUUGUGGCCAAUAAGUACAUCUUAUCCUAUGACCUUUGCUAUGACCCUUUGCAAAUAAGUAGAAGAUUGUUAUAAGCGUCAAUACUCCGUAUAAAUUGAUCGCUGCUGUGAGUUCCCUUUCAGCUUAUCGUAGGCAUACAUUAUUGCUAGCACGGUAAAGCCAACCAACACGAAUGAUGAAGUAAACGUAGCGGUACUUCUGUAUACCAACACCCUUACUUAAAUGUACCGGUGUCAUUCCCUACUGGCACAUAUAUUCUUAUAUGCUAGCCAGCUUGUAAAAUUAACCAAUUAAAAUAAUUAUUUCAAGAUAGAAAUAACUUAUCGGUUUCUGGAAGCAUGUGUAAUGUGAAUUCAAGGACUCGACGGAAGUUGAAUCACUUCAUCUAUAUUGCUUUCAGUAUUUUGGGUAACUAAAUUUAACAUUUGCACAUACAAAUGUUAAAGUACAAAUGUUAAAUCUAGUUACCCAAGCAGAAUAUGAAGAUAGUUUAUAGUAUAUAUAUACUAUAUAAAUCUAGUUAACAUUUAGUCUAAAUGUUAAAUCUAGUUACCUAAAAUCCUGAAAGCAAAAUGUAUAAAUAUAUAUCUUUUAAGGCAGUAUAAGCUUCGAUUCCUAUUGCUGCUCUGUUAAAUCUCAUCUUUCGUUGUGGCCCAACACUCUAGUAUGCAUGUUGCACCAAGCUUCUUUGAGCCGCUCUGCCCUCUGAUUUUGCUGCGUAGGGGAAUCUUUAUCAGGUUGGGCUACUUCCAGUUGUGCGAUGUAAAGAUUCGUAUUUUCUAGAAGGUAGACAAAAAACUCGCGUUCUCUUAAGGCAACAACCGGAAGAUUCUGCAGCGCACAGGGCAUACCAUUAUUGUAGAAACGACCUUUAGUACCGAUCUCCAACCCCCUUUAAAACUGGUUUUGCAACCGGUACCGUUAUGUCGGUCCUUUAGUACCAGAUCAAAUAAGUACCGGUUGGUAACCAGUAUCAACUUGUUUUGCGGCCAAAAAAAUAAAGAAAAAAACAGUCAGAAGGCUCGCACACACGCGCAUCACAUGAAAUAUGCGUGUGCGGGGUCCAUGGGAUUCGAACCCAUGAAAUCAAGCUGCACGCGACCCUUCGUUACCAUCUCACCUACAUAGCGCAUAUGCUUUCCUGAAGUAACCCGUGGAGGAGGCUUUAGUACCGGGUCAUAACACCACCCGGUACUAAAAAUGACUCUUCAGUACCGGGUCAUAACACCACCUGAUACUAGUAUCGGAUGGUGUAAUGACCCGAUACUAAAAGGCCUCUAGGGACCCUCAAAUUUGAACCCGGUACUAAUGCUAAUAUUAGUAGCGGGUCAAAGUGCAGCCAGAACUAAAGCAUGGGAUGAAAGGUCAUAUUUCUAGUAGUGUAUAGUUGUUGUGAAGGACUGACUUGGCUGUCCUCUCUCUUCUCCAUCCCCUUGGUCUUACGCCGCCGCUCGCACGCGAGCCGGUGCCCAACCAGAGGAGUGAGAGCUAGGGGCAGGUUGGGAGGUGGGGAUAGUGACUGGUGGCCAGGGUGAUGGUUGAUCCUGGUGGGGUUAGGGUUUCAGGGUUUUCGAGCUUCCUAUGGUCGGCGAACCUAGAGGAGAAGCUCAACAUCAGCUGCAACCCGCGAUGGUGGUGGUUUGGCCGGCGCCCGAGGCGAGGCAGCGCGGGAGUGCUGCCGGUGGGUUGGUGUUGGCACUCAUUAUUGACAACUAUUUUGUUCAUAAAAUAACACUCAAACUUGCUGCUGCUGCUGCUGCCAUCGCCACCCUAGCCAUAAUAUAAAGGCAAAAUUUGCUAAAGGACAUGCAAAAUGAUGCUAGUUUGCUGGCGGGCAUCGUUGACCUUGUAAUAUGCUACAAGACACUCUAGUUGUGUAUCAAUUUGCUGAAAGACAUUGCUAUGACUAAAAUAAUGUUUCUGGACUGAGUUGGAGAGAGAGAUGGAGUGAAAUGUCUGUUUUGCCCAUGACCCCACUGGUCAGAUCCUUCUUCUUCCACCCUCCUUUGUUCUUUCUUCAACCAUUACCCAGCUCCAGCGUGUUGCAGAUCUACGAGGGUGGCGGCCUGGGGCGAGGGGCAUCGCUCGCCCUUGGAGGAGCGCUGCGAGCGACGGCGCGGGGGCGGCAACAGCGCGUCAGAACCUGACUGUUCGUUAGCUCCUCUCGCUGCUGGGGAAGAAGGAGGGGGAUGGGCCAUGGACGGGGUUCCCUUGAAAACCUCAGCGUCGAGCUCGGGCGGCUACGCGCAGGCAGCACUAGGCUGCUUCACGGGGAGGGGGCGCGGCCAAUCAUUGGCACCCCACUGGUCCAAUGCUGAUGAAGAUGGUGCCAGCGUCGUGUGAGGACAUCUCAUCUCCUCGAGUUCCAUGGCCAGCACAGGUGAGCUGCCGCUACCACAAAACAGAGGUUUCGUGAGAGUCAAAAAACCUUAUGAAAAUAGCUAAAACCAUCAUGAAAAUAAUCCGUGACAUGACACUCUCACGAAAAUCCUCUCACAAAUAUGGUGCCAUGAAAAUACCAUUUUCAUGAGAGUGAACUGUCAUGAUUUUAUAAGCGUCAAUACUCGGUAUAAAUUGACUACUGCUGUGAGUUCCCUUUCAGCUUAUCGUAGGCAUACAUUAUUGCUAGCACGGUAAAGAGAACCAACACGAAUGAUGAAGUAAACGUAGCGGAACUUUUGUAUACCAACACCCUUACGUACCGGUGUCAUUCCCCACUGCCACAUAUAUUCUUAUAUGCUAACCAGCUUUGAAAAUUAAGCGAUUAAAAUAAUUAUUUCAAGAUAGAAAUAACUUAUCGGCUUCUCGAAGCUUGUGUAAUGUGAAUUCAAGGACUCGAUGGAAGUUGAAUCGCUUCAUCUAGAUUGCUUUCAGGAUUUUGGGUAACUAAAUUUAACAUUUGCACACACAAAUGUUAAUGUACAAAUGUUAAAUCUAGUUACCCAAGCAGAAUAUGAAGAUACUCUAUAGUAUAUAUGUACUAUAUAAAUCUAGUAAACAUUUAGUCUAAAUGUUAAAUCUAGUUACCUAAAAUCCUAAAAGCAAAAUGUAUAAAUAUAUAUCUUUUAAGGCAGUAUAAGCUUCAAUUCUCUGUUAAAUCUCAUCUUUCGUUGUGGCCCAACACUCUAGUAUGCAUGUUGCACCAAGCUUCUUUGAGCCGCUCUGCCCUCUGAUUUUGCUGCGUAGGGGAAUCUUUAUCAGGUUGGGCUACUUCCAGUUGUGCGAUGUAAAGCUUCGUAUCUUUUAGAAGGUAGACAAAAUACCCGCGUUCUGGAAGAUUCUGCAACGUGCACGUUGGCGCUGCCACCGUGGUUGCUUAAGCAAAUGCAUCCAACUGAAUCGUCCUUAAGCUGAAUAAUUGGAUAUGGUAUCCACUGCUUAAAGCUGCCAUGUUUAGUACGUCUUUGUUUUUCUCUCUUUAUAUUCCAAUAAGGUCGGUGAUCUUGAUGCCACACACUCAGAUGUGUGUUUAUCUCCAGAUACUACUCCAUGCUACCUACCCUUUGUGUUUUGUUCAAUAACUGGGUAUCAUAUCCUAGCCAGUGUGCCAUCUGUUUUGUGUUUGUUUCCUUCUAGUUCCAAAGGGGUCAUCAUGAUGUUACCUUCUUUUGAGGUGUCUAUGAUGACUUCGUUAAUAUCAAUAUUAACCAAUUCAAUCUGUCUUAACUAUUUGUAAGGGGUAUGAUGUAUGCAUGAUUAUAACAAUGAUUGCGCAUACAAUCGCCGCCAAAGAAACGGUCAAUACCAUUAAGACAUAUUACAGACAAUUCUCAUAAUCUAUAAUGAAUAUACAUAUUCACUACUGCAGAAGACUGUCAUUUGUAUCGGCUCAUACGUGCCAGGGCAAAGGUCACCCUUGCAUUAAGUACAUUUGCACGGUAAAGACAACCAACACGAAUAAUGAAGUAAACAUGCCGGUGCUUUUGUACACCAACACGCUUACUUAAAUGUACUGGUGUCAUUCCUCACCGGUAGCCGGCUUGAAAAUUAACCAAUUAGAACAAUUAUUUAUUGUAUCGGUGUGAUUUUUGACCUAUUGGAAUAUGAAUUUGACCGUUACUGCAUUCGUCAAGACUCAAGAGAGAAAUAACUGAUCGGCUUCUUAGAGCGUGUGCAAUGUGAAAUCAAGGACUGGAUGGAAGUUGAAGCGCUAGCACUAGUAGAGAAACGACUUUCCAUCCACCCCCUUUUGUCCCGGUUUAAAGUUGGCUCGGGAUAAAAGGUUCACCAACCGGGACUAAAACUCAGUCACUGGUGGGAGGCUCACCAACCGGAACCUUUUAUCCCGGUUGCAAAGGCUAAUGGGAAAAAAAGACUCUGAGAGGCCUUUUAUCCCGGUUUGAAACACCAACCGGGAUAAAAGACCCCCCUUUUAUCCCGGUUGGUAACACCAACCGAGAUAAAAGGGUCAAGAGCCUUUUAUCCCGGUUGGAAACACCAACCGGGAUAAAAGACCCCCUUUUAUCCCGGUUGGUGUUUCAAACCGGGAUAAAAGGGCCCCCACGAGGUGACUGGAAGGUGACUGGAAGGGGAUUAAAUCGUGGGGGACCCUUUUAUCCCGGUUGGAAACACCAACCGGGAUAAAAGGGGGUCUUUUAUCCCGGUUGGUGUUUCCAACCGGGAUAAAAGGGUCCCCCACGAGUUAAUACAAAAGGAUAGUAUCCCCUACAUAGUCAGAUGUGGUGUGUAGGUGGGAUGGUAAGGAAGCUACGCGCGAGCUCCGGAAUUUUUUUUUUUUUUUUUUGCAGCGUCGGCGCUCUCUACCCUUUUAUCCCGGUUGGUAUUACCAACCGGGAUAAAAGGGGGUCUUUUGUCCCGGUUGAGUGACCCGGGAUAAAAGACCCCCCCUUUUUUCCCCGGUUAGUUUAUCCCGGAUGCAUUUUCGGGAUAAAAGCACCCUACCAACCGGGAUUAAAGCUCACUUCUCUACCAGUGUAGCUUCAUCUUCCGCUGCAAGUUAAUUGCUUGGAUAAGAAGUUGUAGCCGCUGCAAGUUAUAAAUAGUCCCGCUGAUGCUGUGCUCCGAAGUCUAUACUAUAUAUGCGGAAACUAGAUUGCUUUCAGGAUUUUGGGUAACUAAAUUUAACAUUUGUACAUAAAAAUGUUAGUUUACGAAUGUUAAAUCUAGUUACCCAAGCAGAACAAGAAGAUAGUAUAUAGUAUAUACUAUAUAAAUCAAGUUAACAAUUAGUCUAAAUGUUAUAUCUACUUACCCAAAAUAUUGAAAGCAAAGAAAGAAUAAGUAUAUAUCUUUUGUUGGAAAAUUGGUCCACGGAGAGGCCCAUUUAGGCCUCGUUCGUUUCACCGGGAUGGGAUUCCAGUCAGGAUUACUUCCAAGUUCGGUUUGAGUGAUUCCACCCGUGUCACUCAAUCCGGCUAGGAUUCAUUCUAUGGGUGAGGAGGUAUGGUUUCAAUCCAGGCCAUCUAAUGUAGAAGGAUUCCAAUCCAGGCCGGUUUUCGUUCCAGGCCAGACUAAAACGAACAACACUUUCAAUGCAAGUCUGGUUUCAAACCGGGCCAUUUCAAACCACCCGGAAUGGACCUCGUUCCAGGCCAAUCCGGUGAAAACAAAUGAGGCCUUAAUGGAAUCCCAAAGCAAGAGUUCAGUGGCAUUCUAUAGUCCCAUGCUGCUAGUUUGAGUUGGUCGAAGCCAACUUAAAUAGGAGAGCUCUCUCACUUCUCUAAAUACGUAACUGAAGGAGAGAAGGGGGCUUGGGUUACACAACGCACGCACGCACGCAUAUUUGCGUUCUUUUCGCGUAACCAACCGCGUGACUUGAAACUUGCGACGUAGCGUGCUGCUAAGUCAAGUUGAUAUAACCUUUUUGCCGUUUGCAUGUAAUCUUUUGACAACGGUCAUUGGAGGUGAUAAGCACGCAGUCAAUACCUUAAUCUUGAGUUAAUAGGGUGGUUACUACUGCCAAUUAGUGGGGCAAUUUUGUAGGGGAAACGGUUAGCAGAGGGCUACCGUCUUCUCUAUAAGAAGUUCUGGAGACGUCCAGGAACACACAUGUACAUGUGAGAGACCCACAAAUUCCUUCCCUUCUCCCUUUUCCAUGUGGUGAAGUGUGCUGUGGUACUGAGCUGCUUGAUCUCGCCGCUCUUCUCCUUGGCAUGCACCGAGGAGGAGGGUGAGCGGUAUCUCCGAGCUAUUGCCGUCAGGAAGCCUGCACGAGGGACAACAAAAAGUUUUUGGGUAGCGCAACUGCCAGCACAACUCUCCCUCCGCCUCUUCUUCACGGUUGAUGGCCACCACAAGCAUAAACCUCGCCUUCGCAUCCACGCAAAAGGGUCGCUGGGGUGCCUUCUUGCAUCGCUUCUCAGCCUCCUUGACUUGCGGCCAGCCAAGAACUGCGCCACCACCUCGGGUGCACGCCACCACUCCAGGGCUGCUACCCCAUGCCUGCGGCCGCCGCCGGCCACCACGCGUGUGCAACCGCGUCGCACCGCUUCCUUGCUUUGUGCCACCACUGCUGCUGUACCACCAGCUCCACCACCUUGGGCUGGUCGCCAGAGUGACUGAUAACUUAUUAUCUGUAACUACUAUUAACUCAGGGAUACAUGCGUCUUUUGCUUCUCCUACUAAUAUGUCCUAAAAUAUCUAGGAUGCCUUAUAUUUCUGGACAGAGGAAGUAUUUGAAUAAAAUGAACCAAUUUAAAAAAAUGUGUUGUACACUACUACAGAAAGACCUAUCAGUGUCAAACCCAAAAAUGUUGUCACCGCCAGUUUUGGGCAUCAUUGGUGAAAGGUUGGCGGUGAUGGGCUUUCCCUUCAACAACGGCACUGGAGCCGACGGUGAUUGACAUUAGAAAACAAAAAAGGGGACCCUACCUAGCCACCCCUGCAACCCGGCCGGCCGUGCCUCCCCUCAUCCCCACCACCUCGCCUCCCCAUGACCCCCCGCCGGCGCCCUUGCGCCUAGCCCCCUCAACUGCCCAGCCGGCCACCCUCAUCACGAGAGAGAGGUGCAUGUUGUAUAAUUGCGUGAAUUUUUUAAUGUUUAAUUUCAUGUAAGUUCCGUGUAAUAAAUUGUACAAGUUUUAUUGUAUAUAUGAAUUCCAUAUAUAUAUAUAUAUAUUUAUAAUUUAAUGUAUGGUUUCAUGUGUAUAUUUCAAUCAUGUGUAUAUUUAGUAGAUUGCCGAUUUUCUUUUUCUACUAGACAAGGGUUGAUGUAUAAUUACGUGUAUAUGUUUAUUGUACGGGCAAUUAGGACAAGUUUUGUAUAAAUUUCUUUUAUUUGAUGGUUGUUGUAUGGUUUCAUGUAUAUACAUUUAUUGUACUACUUUAGACAAUUUUUAAUUUAAUGUUUCUAUGAUUAGAUGUGUGUAUAACUAAUUGUAUUAUUAGUUAAGAUGGGAGCUAAAGAGGAUGAAAGGUAUAUAAUGGAGCAGAUUAUUGCUAGCUCAAACGUUGCAAGAACCUACACCGAGGGUGAGGGUAGCUAGGUGGACAUGUACCUCAACAUGUCCAGUGAUGGCAAUGACGAUGAGGAGCACGAGCAUGACAUCUAUGAUAAUGCGGAACAAGACAUUGCAGAAUUGGAAGGUUCUAAUGAGGUGUGCUUCAUGUUGACAAUCUAGUUGGCUUUUUUUCGUUGGUCACACCUUAGUUACCAUAGAACUUCGUCUCGGGAGAAGAUUGGUGGUGGUAUGGUGAUUGGAAUUUUAUUUCCACGAAAUCUGAUUUCCAUCGAAUCAUAUCCCUUGUAUUUAUCUUCUUUUUAUUUGUGAGAGCAUCUUCUUUAUGCUUGCAAAACAAUUCAAGUGCACAUACUACCCCUAGGGUGACGAUUGGGAGUAGAAAUAAUUGCCAACAAAACAACACCACAUCCUAAGAUUCUUAACUUGUGGCAUAAUUAGUCUAGUAAAAAGAAAGAUAAAAACCUAAUGGGUGUAUGUGAGUGCAAUGUGUAUAUGCAUAUGAGUGGAAGGCAUAUAAGCAAAGACAAUAUUUACACAUAGUUCUAAACACCAUGUUUACAGCUAGGUUGCUGAAUUUCUCCAUAGCCAUAGAGAUUAAUUAACCAAGGUCAAAACACGAUGUCUAUCCCAAGAUCAGUAAUUAUUUAUAGCACAAGAAAAAGAAAGCGCAUUGCAAAGUUUAUAAACCAACCAAUACAGCAUGAAAACAAGAUGAAUAGCUAGCAAGGUUUAUUAAACUGAAUGAUGACGGUCUGUAAGCAAGUUUAAACACCAUCUUUACACAAGAUUGCAAAUGGAAAAUGCCCAUAUGAAGCACUAACAUGGAUAUGAAAUCAUUCAUCAUAAAGCGUAAAGAACAACCAAGCCAACCAUAUGCAAAGCAUGAAUGGAAUGCAAUGAAGGUGCAAGAGAACAUUUUUGGAUGAACACAUUAUGAUGAUGGCAAAAUGCAAUGCAUGCAGAAAAAAUAAAUAUGAACAUGAAUAUGAUGAUCAGGGGCGGACCCACUAUUGUGGCCUGGGUAUUCCUCGGCAUACCCAAUAUUUUUGGGAAAAUGUUUAGUAGUUUUUAAUGGCAUAUACAUGUAUAAUAUAGUUUAGGUGUUAAAAUUGAUAUUCACAGCUAUUUUGGGCUCCAAUUCGCGUCCAAACCAACCUGGCCCACAGACCGCACCCGGCCGCCCGGCCCAUCGGCCCAUCUUGUCACUGAUCCUCCCACCACCACACUCAGCCCGUCAGUUAGUCAGGUCCCGAGCUCCUGCCUGACCUAGUCCGCUACCACCGCCAGGCGCCAGGCACAGCUGUACACGCCGCCCCCGUCCACCCACGUCCGCCGCACGGCCGCGUCGCGCCCCCCCCCGGCGCCCGCUGCUGCCAGAACCCAUUAGGCCUCCACCGGCAAGUCCACCCACAGUCCCGCGCGACGCGGCAGCCUCUUGGCUCUCGGCGCUCGCGGCGCGCCAAUGCCUGCGCAGCCCCAGCAGGCGACUGCCCCCCCCCCCCCCGCAUCGGGCCUCGGCCCCUCCCCAGCUCCCCCUCCCCCCUCCACCAGGACUGCCUGCUGGCCCCCACCGCGAGGUAAUCGAAAUGGACUGCUCAAUCUCUCAAUCUGUUGACAUGAUGCACACGGUUGCAAAAAUAGAUGUGUCAAAAUAGAUGUAUUGCCAAUUGCUAUAGAUGCAUAUGGUUGACAUGAAGAAGUCAAAAAUGACAUUUGGUUCCUUGUAGGCAGUCAAAAAUGAAGAAGUCAAACAAUAUUGAUCUGAAAUCAAUGCGGGAAAGGGCUACGAAGACACACGGGUAGAUUCCCUUGUGAACUUUUUAUGUCGUUCGUCUAAAUAUAUUUUUGCAAUGGGCAUACCCUACUCUGAAAUCCUGGGUCCGCCACUGAUGAUGAUGGUCUAAACAUAAAACAAGCCUAGAUUAAUUAGCUACAACUGAAAUUAAGCAAAGGUUAAUGUCAUUGACCCUAGCUCUAUCCUAGCUUUUACUAAAGUCCCGGCACAUAUAGUGGUUGGGCCCACUCUCUCUACUUCCCUCUCUGCUGCAUGCACACACACGAGCAACUGGAGGCCCAACAAAGCCCAGAAGGGUUCGGCCGAACCCGUCCGAUCCAGUCUGAGCGCCGCUCCCUCCCAGCCUUCGCGCAGAUGCUCCUCCAACGUUCCUUGACCCCUCCCUCAGUGUCCCAUUGGGUUUAACAUUGUAGGAGAGGAGUCCCUUUUUUAAAAUCUCAACCACCUCCUCUCCUCAUUCACUCCACUCUCAUCUCCAUCAAACUCACCAAGAUCCACAUCGGAAAUACCUGCUUACCACCAUGGCUGGCAAAGCCCUCGUCCCUUUCACCAACUUGGGCUUGACCAUUGAUCUCGAUGGGAAAAUCACUCCAGCAAAUGUCAUUGUCCCUGUCGGCGAUCUGGCGAUGGAGGAGGUCCAGGCACUAGAGGUCGAGCCCCUAGCCAUCAUACCGCCCAAGGGGUAAAGCAGGAGCAUGACAGGCGCUGCUAGGGGUUCAGCCGAACUCCCAGUUCAGCCAAACGAGGACGGCGUCGCCUCGGCCUCCCGCUCGACUGCAUGCUUCCCCUUGCCAAGGAGGACUCCAGAACAGCGGGCGCGUGCGUCAAGUCCCUACAAAAGGCUGAAAUACAAUGAAUAUCCAGGGUCACCCUUGAAGAUGGGUGAACGCUACGCCGGGUCCUUGUUUGACUAGUACGGCGAUGCAUUCUGCCACCGCUAUGUCGUUGUCGAGAUUAGCGGAUCAAGACUUAGACUAGUAAAUUUCUUUUAUGCGCGUAAGGCUUCAGAUGGUGGCGUGGGAGACAUGGGUUUUAUACUAGUUCGGGCAAUGGAAUACCCUACGUCCAGUGUCUGGAGCUGCUUGUGUUGCCCACGCGGGGUUCUGUAGUAGGGGUUACAGGUGUGCGAGAGAGGGAGCUAAUCCCAGGUCUCUUAGGCGUGUUCCGGUCCUCUAGAUGGGAGAAGUGUGUUCUGUUUGCUUGGGAGUAUCGGUUGUGUCUGAGUUGUCUCCGGAGCCUCCUCCCGUCUCAGGUCCCCGAUUCUCCUUUCAUAGCACAAGGAGACCAUCGGGGUUACAGACGAGACCGAGCGUGGGGAGGAGUAAAGAGAUAAACAUAGCUAGGUAAAAAUACAACAAGAAAGGGGGGAACCAAGUUUCUAGGUCACCGGCGUCCUCGCCGGCCUUCGACUUCCGCCGGCGCAUUUGUCGGAGGAGGGUGGCCGCCAUCGCGUUCUGUCGAUGGCUUCCUCGGUGACUGUAGCCACCGGGCGUGAUGAUGGCAUUUCGUCGUGACCCUUUGUCUGUUGGGGGAGGCGGCGGAUCCUGCCAUUCUGCUGACGGCUCGCGGAGUGCGAACGUCGCAUCCCUGCCGCUGGGCACGCGGGGCGCGAGAACGUGCGAGGCUUCCCCCUACCCCAGGCGGCGCAGGCCAUGAGUGCCCUGUGGCAAAUCGGAGGAGGCCGCAGCUACUGUAGCUUGUACUGUGCAGCCACGUAUGGGUACUUGUGGCAGGUUGCGUGGUGGAUGCGGAUAUCCUUCUCCCUGACAGAUCUGCGGCGCAUUUAUGGCGAGAUCGACAUGGGGACCCACAAGACCCGCGCCCAAGGCGGAUACUUGUCUGGAGGGCCCGGGUUAGCCUGACCCCCUACGCUUGGGGUCGGGCGAGGCGGAGACUUGCGGCGGGGCGUCGGACGCUCCCGACACUAGACCUGCGGUCGCGCAAGGCGGAGCUUGGUCUUCCGGGGGUCGGGGGUGCCGGACCCCAGGAUGCGGGGUCGGGCGAGGUGGAGCGUAAUUCUUGCCUCCCAUGUUGGGCCGAUGGCAGUCUUUGUUACCUCUAGUGGGCUUGGGCCUUUAUGUUUUGUUGUUUCCAUGGGCUUCGAGAGGUCGUUAAUAUUUCCCCCCAACAGUAGCCCCCGAGCCUGUGGUGGAGUGGGGGCGCUCCUCCGGAGGCUACUAUCAUCGCCCCUAGGGAAUCCUCGCAGUUGAUCCGGGAUAGGAGGUGUUGUUUGCACGGCUUGACCGAGGGGGUCGAUUAGGCGACGCAUCCUGUGAGCGACUCGGUGCGGGAGGGUUUCUUGUUGUUCCCUUCUGUCUGAGAGCCUUAAGUCGAGACCACCUGCGUGGCCUUUGGUUGCAAGGCCAGCCCCCGAGCCCCCGCACGUUGCAGGGGACCGGUCGGAGGCUAGGUCGACUUUUGUUCAUUACCCUCAAGCGUCUGUUCGCUAGGACGGAGGGGGCGAGCCGUGCCAUGCUAUCCUCAUCGGACGAACCAUGGUGCUCAUUGAGUUACUAACGGGUUGAUUCGAGUGGGAUCCCGGUCCCCGUUCGGGGGGGGUCCGGCUUGGGCCAAGCUGGUGGCGUACCCCAGGCUCCGGUCGGCCAGUUCAUAUAGUUCCUGAGUCCGUUCGGUCGGACCGGGGGCUCAUUGCCUUUCUUCGGGGAAAAACCAUGAACUUUGAUGCCGGUCCAGACUCGAAUGUGAGAUUGAGACGCCCGGGGCUGUCGCGUGCCCGGGUGAUGGCCGCUAGCGGACCCGUCUCCUCUCACCCCUCACUCGGGGGUAUCCUGAGGCGGCUGUCGAACCCGUGGCGGGCCAGCCUUCGAACCUCUGGAUCGUAAUGGGCCGUAGGGGCGUUUUCAGCCCCGUAUCCCUUUUUACCUUUUGGUGGGCCUUGGGCCGAAUCAUGGAGGAGGUCGGGCCUUGGGCCGGAUGCGGAGGAUGUCGUGCCUUGGGCCGGAUGUGGGGGACGUCGUGCGUGUCUUCCGGGAGACGAAGUGGUGGAGGGUGCCAACCCGCGAAUCGAGGGAGGAGGGGAUGUUUCUACUGCAGGUCAUGCGCACGGUUUCCGAAAAGGCAGCGGGCGUGACGGGACGUACCUCGCGCCGCAUUUAUUGCGAUGGGGGCGUCUGUUCUGCUUCCCUCGUGCCUUCCCUAUAAAACGAGGACUUCGCCUCGCCGGUUCCGCCCGCCAUCUACCUUCAAGCCUUUUCGCCUCCUCGCGCGCCCUUAGCUUUCCUGUGCCCGCUUCGUCUUCCUCCGCCCAGUGCCGCGCCCUUUCUCCCCAUCCGCCGUCGAGUUCUUCUCCCUCCGGCGAUGGGAUCCUGGGCGCGUUCCCACUUCGGCCCCUCACGCGCCGAAGGCCUAGUGAGGAAAGGCCUCCUUUGCGAGAGGACGGAGACGGAUGAGUGGGGGUUCCCUGAGAUGGAAGAGGUGCCGACUCCGCCCACCGGCUACGUCGUUUCCUUUGCCCACUUCCACGAGAGGGGGUUUGCGACUCCGCCGAGCCUCUUCUUCCGCGGGCUUUUGUAUUACUACGGGCUUGAGCUGCAGCACCUCAACCCCAACGGGAUUCAGCACGUCGCGGCGUUCGUUGCGGUGUGCGAGGGGUUCCUGGGCAUUGAGCCCAACUUCUCGCUGUGGAAGUACUUCUUCACGGUCAGCCUAUACCAGAAGGCCGAGAAGAGGGGAAGCCAGCAGCGGUCGACCCCGGUGCCGAUAGGGUGCGUCGGAAUCCACCUCUGCCAUACUCGCGCCAAGGAGUAUAUCGCGAUGAAGACCGCGGCAUCCCACAAGGGGUGGCACCAGCAAUGGUUCUACGUGAAGAACUACUCCAACCCCCCCUGCCGGAGUUCACCGGCCGCAUUAUUGAAGCGGCGCCGGAGGUGUGGGUGUACGGCCCGGUGGAGAAGGAGAAGAAGCGGAUCACCGGCCUGCUGCAGGCCAUCGAGCACCUGAAGGAGAGGGGACUGACCGGAGCCGGAGUCAUCGGGGCGUACCACGCCCGGCGGGUGGCGCCGCUGAUGCUCCGGGUCCGCUCGCUCGCCGACAUGACCCCCGGUGCUCUCACCGAUGGCACUGUCCUCGCGACGGGUGCUCUCGCUGCCUCCGAGAUCCGGCAGCGGAUCCGGGAGGCGCUGGAGGACAAGGACGCCGAUUACCCGGUGCCCGGCCACCCUCCGAUGCGCCCGGACGAGAAUUUCAUUGAUCUGGUAAGGAUUUUGCGCGCCAGUUUCCCUCUCUUGCGUUUCUUGGUAUGCCGUUCUGACGCGAGGCCCUCUGUGUUUGCAGGGUAGCAUGACCCGGGUCGUCGACUUGCGUCCGCCAGUGUCGGAGGACGCCGAGUGGCGGUAGCAGAACCGUCUCCUUGCCGAGAAGCAAAAGUGACGCAAGGACAAGAGACAGCGAAGAAGAAGAAGAGGGCCGCCAAGGAGUUCCAGCGGCGGCGGUGGGGAUAGGUCGUGUCGGAUGACGAUGACGAUGAGAAGGAGGAGGAGGAUGACGAGGAGGAGGAGGAGUUUAUCCUGUCCCCCCGGUCAGGGGCGCUUGUUAUCCGGGAGCCGCGCUCCCAAGCGGCCAUGGGGGACAAGGCGGGCGAGCUGCCUGCCCGGACCCGAUCCUGCGAAGCUUUGGGGGCGCGCCCCAGGGGUCGGCGCAGAGCGCCCCCCGGGGGUCGACGGAGCCGACCCCCAUCCCUACACCUGCAGCCCAGGAGCAGAGGAGCAGCGACAAGCGGCCGUUGCCAGAUGCCCCGGGGUCGGCGUCCAGCUCAGAGGCGAAGCGCGCGCGCCGCCCUUGCGCUGGGGGAACGUGAGUUGAAUUUCCUUGCGAAUCUCGUUCCUUUCCAUGCAUUGUGUUUGUUUCCGCUGAUGCUGUUUGUUGUCUCACAGCACCGCCCCUCAAGGCCUUGUCCCGCCGUUGGCGCCAAAGAAGGCGUUGCGGUGUUGUCGCCUCUGCGGGGCGGACCGCGGCUCCGCCGGCGGCGAGUGGCGGGGUCACUGGUGAGACCGCGGGUCCUACCGCGGAGGUGGCCCCUGCGGCGGCAACCGGUGGAGUGGUGCCACCGCCGGGCAUGGGACAGGGUCUGGACCCCGCUCCGUCCUCCGCCUCUUCGGCCGACCCCGCGGUGCAGAGUAUCGCUCCUGGGGGCCCUCAGGCCGGGGAGGUGAUUGACCUCGACGCCGACGAGGUGGAGGAGACGGCGGCGGUGGAGACGGGGGCGGUUGCCCCAGCGGCCAUGACGGGGACGACGACGGCGACGGGGGAAGGAGAGUCUACCCCCGCGGCCACGGCGGGGACAGUGGCGACAGAGGAGGCGGGGACGCCCGCCCCGGCGGCUGCGACGGAGGAGGCGGCGGUGACGGAGACGGGGGCUUCCGCCCGGGAAGCCACAGCCGAGGUGGCAGCGGCGACGGAGGUGAAAGUGCCUGUUCUGGAGGCCACGGUGGGGGUGGGGACGCCUGCCUCGUGGCCACGACGGAGGGCGAGGCGGCCCCAGGGACACUUGCUCCGGCACCCGCGUUGGAGGCGGUGGCGCCGACGGGUUGGCCCGUGGCGGCCUCGACGGGGGCGGGGGUGCGUGCGCCGGGACCGUCGGUGAGGCCGGCGACUUCCGGGAUGGUGGUGCCCGUCUUGACGGCGGCGGCGGCGCGGUCGGCCCCCGCCCUUGCCUCUACCACUCCCAUUCCCAAGGCGUGGAGCGGAUCCGUCCUGCGUUGGUCGUCUCGUGACGACCCGCAGAGGCCCCUCUUCACGUUGGAUGAUGCCACAGAAUGGGGCAAGUGGCAGGCGCUGCAGGGCGGACUCGCUAACGUCCGCGCCGCUCUAUCUUCGGCGUUGGGGGAGCUGGACGGCGUCAUCUUCCCCGGUGGCCGGGUAUGGUGCUUUCUCCGUUGGUUAUUUUCUUCCCGUUACUUCGUCCCUGAUGGCACAUUGUUCUGCAGGCCCUCCAAGAAUGUAGCCGGGGAAAAUCUGAUUUCCUUUGGCUCGAGCAGGGGCUCUGGGAGCGCUUCAACUUGGAGUUGCAGCGGACCGGGGAGCUGACCAUGCAAGUCGCCACCGUCUAGCAUGUCAUCGACGAUCUGCGAAGGCACGAGCAGGCGGCACAGGAGGACGCGCGGCGGGCGGAGGCCAAGUUCCAGGUCGUUGCCGAAAGGGCUCGCUGCGACCGCGAGGAGUUCCAGGCCGUUGCCGAAAAGGCCCGCCACGACGCUGAGGAGCUCGCACGGCUGAAGGUGCAGCAUGAAGCUCUUCAGAAGAGCGGCAGAGGGCCUGGCAGGACCGGGACGCCGAGAAGGUCCGGAAGGAGGAGGCUGAGAAGGUGGCGGCCAACCUUGGGGCUGAGGUCAGCCAGCUCCAAGUGCAAGCGCGAGAGCUUCAGGCCUCCGUGGCCCAGGGGCUCGACCAGGAGCGCCAGCUGAAGGCCUAAUCCGAGGGUAUGACUCUGUUUAUUUCUUUGUCUUUGUGAUGUUGCGGUGAUAUUUUAUUUGGCGGGUUCUUCUGGAUGAUCCUUGCAGAUGAGCUCAACUGGCUGAGGGAGGUGCUUGACGCGGAGCGCGCUGAGCACGGCGACCUGCGGGACGCGGUCCGCGUCAUCUGUGACUUCCUUAGUGUGGUCCAGGGGGAGGGGACGAGCUCGCUGGCGGCUCGUGUCCUCGGGACGUACCGCCGGACCAGCGAGAUCGCCCUGGAAGCGCUUCGCACCGGCUUGAGGCAAGCCUUUGGGGUCUUCGGCUCCCACUAUUCCGGCAUCAACUUCGCCGGGAUGAGCGGGGGAUACGCCACCGGCUACUACGAGGCCGAGCUGGAUGAGAUCGACGUGUCGGUGCUCAGCCCGGCGGAGGCCUUGGUGAAGCUCCUCGAGGAUGAGGCCGUCCCGCCCGAAGAUCCCCGGACGAGUUAACUAUAUCGGGCUGGCGCCCCAGAUGUAAAUACGUUAGGGAAAGACUUGUUUUUUGUGAGGGCCGUAGAGGCCUUUUCUAUGAAUUGUCGUAAAAAAGUUUUUGAUUCCCUUUCUUGCUUUUUGGACUUGGAAAGUUUAGAGCACGUUGUCGGGCGUGUCAGUAAGCUUUGAUGAGCGAAGGCACCGUAGCCGCUGGGGCGUCGUUUUUUUUGCAGUCCGAUCAAUCUUGCCUGAACACCGUUCGUGCACUUUCUCCUUUUUAUGCCCAAAAGUUCAGAAAGAGGGUCGGCUCGGAAAGAGAAAGCGUUUUGAGAGGGUGUCAAGUGGCUUAGGUACUUGCGGCAGGUUGCGUGGUGGACGCGGAUAUCCUUCUCCCUGACAGAUCUGCGGCGCAUUUAUGGUGAGAUCAACAUGGGGACCCACAAGACCCGCGCCCAAGGCGGAUACUUGUCUGGAGGGCCCGGGUUAGCCCGACCCCCUACGCUUGGGGUCAGGCGAGGCGGAGACUUGCGGCGGGGGGUUGGACGCUCCUGACCCUAGACCUGCGGUCGGGCGAGGCGGAGCUUGGUCUUCCAGGGGUCGGGGGCGCCUUACCCCGGGAUGCGGGGUCGGGCGAGGCGGAGCGUAAUUCUUGCCUCCCAUGUUGGGCCGACGGCAAUCUUUGUUACCUUGGGUGGGCCUGGGCCUUUAUGUUUUGUUGUUUCCAUGGGCUUCGAGAGGUCGUUAAUAUUUCCCCCCAACACUAUGAGGAGGACUUGUGGGCAGAAAGUCAGCUACCACAAACUUGCCUCUGAAUAUUUGGAGUGCAAACAUUGGAUGGUGGUUGUGGAGAGCCCCAGCCAUACCUCGCACCCGUGGAGAGGUAAUUGUCGGAUUGCUUGGUUCGUCUCUAGAAUGCGACAAGGUCAGGCGCCACCUCUCACUGCUGCCAGUCAGAAGGCCGAGGGGCCAGUUUCAACAUAGUAAUGAGAAUCUCCGAAGGCCAAUAUGGUUAAGCAGCUAACCUCCAUGAUCAUAGACUUACGUUUAGAAAAUAGGAGGCUUAGCGAUGCGUUAACAGAGCAGAAGUUAGAAACAGAAGAACUUAAGGACGACUUCCGUGUCCUCCGCCUUGGUCUUUGUGCUAAGAUAAAGCGCUUGUACAAUGCCACGGGGAAUGACGGUCUCUACGAUGCAGCUCAAUAGACGUGCCCCUUGUAUCCUUUCCUUUAGGCACUUUAGAAUAUGUUUAUUUGUUUUCCUUCAUUUUAAUUUCCAAUAGAUUGUUAGCGCCUCCAAUUUAAUUUCAAUAAAGUGUAGACUCACCGGUCAUCCAACUUGAUGGAGUCCUUUUGUCACCUAGUUGUCUUUGGAAGAAGUAGCUGGGUACAAAAUAAGUGUGGGGGAGAGCCACAGACUCUCUAGAGCUGAAACAAUGCACAACACCCACAAAUAGAGAAAACCACGCUGCACCAGCACGUACGUGAAAGUGGAGCCAGAGCUGGACCCAUAGGGGUUUGGCCAACCCAAGGGGUGGCCCACUCGGGCCAUCUUCAUCCACCGCGUCGGUUUGUGUCUCUUUACCCCUGAUCUCCCUGAUUCAUGAGUUUGAAUGAAUUUUAAAUCUGAUCAACUAAUUCAAACUCAACUAAAAUGAAUCAACUGCUCCACCUGCUCUACAUGUUUUCUAUGGUUGGCUUGCAUAUGUUUUAUUUCAUGCUUAUCAUCUUGAUGCUUGUGAACAAAUAUCUUUAGGACAGCAUGCUCAUCUAAGUAGUUGAUGUGUAUGAUAUGGUUCGAUGAUAUGAUCUUCACUCUUAAUGCUUAAGUGCUUGGGAAAAUCUAUUUGAAAAUUUAAAAGCCUUUUUGAAAUCUCCUCUUUGAUGUGCCAAAGUCCUACCAAAGCCAUAUGAUAAGUUAUCUUGAAAAACCAUUUGCAUAUGUUGCUUGUCUUUGCAUUGAGCUUUGUCAAAUUGGUGUGACCCUUGUCACAAUUCUUUUCAUACUUUCAUGAUCAAGACUCAUGUGCACGCCAUAUACCCCUUGCUAUGCUUCUAUGAGAUGUUAGCAUUGUACCAUCCAUUCAUUCCACAAAAUAAAUGCUCCACCAUAUGUGUUGGUCUCCUUCUAAGAUUAUUGUUACAAAAGAGAUAUGGGCUAUCAAAAAAAAAUAUGAAUGUCCAAGAAAGUUGGACACAUGAAUGUCCAAUAAAAAGAAAAAGAAAGAUAGCCAUGUCCUCAGAAAUAUUUACAAAGGGAGAGAGAUCAUACAAAAAGGAGUUUCCAUUCCAUCCACCACAUCCAUACAUGUGCACAUCUUGAUCUGAUUGUAUGACUUAUUUUUCUCUUUGGAUCUGGUCUUUGACUUUGCAAUAUAUGUGAUGCAAGCAUGCCUUAUCCUUCAUAGCCUACCUUGAGCUCCACAUAUAGCCAUCAUUAGAAGUAGGAUGAAGAAAGGCAAGUCUAAUGCCUUGGUGAGGACAUAUACACAUUGAGUGAUCUGAGAGAAUCAAAUGAGGAGCUAAGCAAGGUUUUGUUUUGAAAACUAAUUGAAAAAUCCCAAGCUACUUGGCAUAAGGAGUUGAGGUGACUUGAUUCAAGACCAUUACAUUCCUCAACUACCCAAGAUGGCAUGAUAGACACUCCAAAGUUCACAAGUGCAGGUAUGGUUUGGAAUAUCUUUUAGGCUCGCUUCAUACCUUUGAAAGUUAUGUUUCACCUUAGUCCUUUCUCGUUCACUCAAGGAUAAGCAAAGGCUAAGUGUGGGGGUGUUGUUGAUGGCUCUUAAGUACAAAAUCUGCGCCAUCAACUCUUGCAUAAACACAUAAAAUAUGAGCAUCAACAAUAGUGGUAGGAGUUAUUACAAACGAAUUCCACAAGUCUUGGUGAAUAUUUGUAUGCAAGCCCAAUAGGAGAGAAAAGACACCUCAAAAGCAAGGAAACACACUCUCAACCAAUCAAGAGCAAGCACAUGGAACCAUGGGCCCACAACCAAAAGGAAAUCGACUACAUUCCAAACACCCUAUACCCACAUGAGAACCCAUAGGGCAGUGACCCAGAGCAAAGGUGAUGCCAGAGUGUAGAUGGUAGUUAGCAUGCCAAAUUUUGAACCGCAAGCGCUCGGAUUAGUUGUUUCUUUUCCCUUAGAGAUUCCCCCAAGGUUUAUCAAUCCAUGGAACAAGGGAUUUGCACGUUUCACUAAGCACUAAUCAAUGUAAUUGAAAGCUUUUCGAAUAAGAUAUGAUUAUGCUAACAAAGGAACUAAGCAAUCUAGAUUAAGAUGGAUAGAGAGUACAGGUUGUGAACAAGAUAGAUUAAACGCUUGUAGAUGCAAUCACCAUGCAUGAAUGAAUUAGAUCUAGGUGUUAUUGUGAGUGGUUGUGAACCAUGCCCAACACUUUCCCACCCGCAACAUUGUCACUACAUGUGGGUACUCAACUAUCGGAACAUAAGAACACAUCAAGAUGAUCAUUCUAGGUAAGCAAAUAAGCAACCCAAAGUAGCGCUGGCCAGCCUUUUCAUGAAAGAGCAUCAUCAAGAUAAGAUUGAUAACAAAAUAGAUCUCAACCAAAGGUUCAGCGAUUACAAAUCAAGAUCUUCGUAUAACCCCGAUGACAAAUAGAGGUAUUACCCCCAUGAUCUUACACAUGUUGAUGAAUUUUAGGGUAAAGGACACCCUGUAGAUCAACUGGACCAAAGAUGAUGAUGAACGGGGGCAGGGAAGGCCCAGGUUGAUCAGCCUGCGCACUUUUGAGCCGAUCAGCUCAGGGGGUUUCCUCCUCCCCUGGUGCUCCUCUUCGCGUGGCCUCCUCUGGAUCCAAUCUUCUCUUCAUUUCUCCUACUUGUGGCGGCAAUGGAUGGUGUUUGCAUGGUGAUUUCCUCUUCUCCCCAACUCUCCCUCCUUGAAGUCCAUGAGGGGGUAUUAAUAGUCUCCAAUAGGCGGCAGCUCUGGGUCAAUGUCAGUGAAAAAAUCCUAGAGAUCAUCGUACACUUCAUGCUGAGGAAACAAGAGGUUGACCGAGCCCUGGGAUAGACCAAGAGGAUCAUCCUAGAGGGUCCCAGGCUAAUCGGUCUAGGCCCUUCCUAGCCCUUCUAGUCCUCUCCUUCCUCGUGCUGGCUUUUCUCGAUGACCCUUGUCCAAAUAUCCAUGAAGCUCUAUAUACAUACCCCCUUGAUUAUGUUGUAUUUCCUGUCAAAAUACAAUGCUCCAAAAUACAACACAUAUGCAAUAAUAGGGUUAUUUCAGGUGCCAAUUGGUGGGUUAGUAUACGAAUAAGCAUGAAAAUACUGUUUAAAUGACACUAAAAGUGUGUCAAUAACGAGCACCAACAAUCCCCCCACGCUUAGAUCUUGCUCGUCCUCGAGCAAGUCUAGCGACUAAAAGAUCUUGAAUUAAACCUGAGCAAGCGAGUCAAGUACCUAGCCUUGAAACAAAAGAUUAGAGGAGCAGCAAAGAUAAUCAAAGUCUGGGUGUUCAAAGAUUUAUCUAAGCAAAGAUUCCCCUACAACUAUUAUUCAGAACCAAGUAACUUCAAAAAUCAACUACACUUAUUUUCUGGCUUUUUUCAGAGGGUUUUUCUUUCAUCAUAAAACAAUCUCCCUGCAACAAAAUUGAAAAAAGAAUUAUUUUCAAGGUGCUUACAUGUCGCUUAAAUGAAUGUUGGCUAUCCUACUUAUUUGCAAGCUCUCAUCUCUCAAAAUUCAUUCAAUUAUAUGGUGGAGUUUGGGUAAGGUUAGCUAGAAUCAACACGUAUAUUAUUGAAUUAAGAAAACCCUCUAACGGUGGCCUACCUUCCGAGCCAUUGAUCAUAAGAAUAUCCACAUAAUGUGAAGUUUUCAAGGAUGAGAAGAUAUAGAAUGGUGGACAUGUGCAAAGGCAAAGAAAUAUAGUGACUCUGAGGCACAAGCAAUGUCCUCGUCGUUGGAUUGCAUAUGGUUGUAAUGAAAAUAUGUUCCUUAAACAAGUCUAUCUUUUCUUUGCACCACUCUUGAUCUUCAUGACAGUAAAAACUCCUCCUUUAUUUCUUUCUCUCUUUUCCUAUUAUUUCUUUUUAUUUGUCUCAAUACUUUUAUUUCUUUAUUUCUUUAUUUUAAUCUCUUCUCUGAACCUCUUCUGAACACCACAUAAUAAAAAUAAGUUUUAGAUCCUUCCAGAGACCUUCCAGGAAUUUGCUACAUGAAAACCGAGGCAAGGAGACCCCAGGCCGAUUGGCCUAGCCACUCCUUUGCUCUCCUCUAGCUCUUCUUUCUGGUGAAGCUUCCUUAUCUUGUAUCUUUCCAAAAAUUUCAUAAAGCUCGACUAGAAACGGAACAGAUCUUCAUAUAAUGAGUUGUGUUCAAGGAAUUGGUAAUAAAAUUGAGAAAUUUGUGGUUCGGGUUUACGAAUUCAGUACAAAAAUAUGAUUGUUCCAAUGAAGAACUCUCAUUACUGAAUAUUGACGAGGCAAGCAUUCAAAGAUGGUAAAAAGGAUAUGAUCAAUUCUCAAAAUUAAAGCAAACCAAGAGAGAGCGAUCCUAAUUCAAUUCAAAGUGUCAAAUGUUGCUUAUGGUGGUAUGAAUAAAUAUUUUUAGGCAUUGGGUAGGAUAAAUAAAAACUCUCAACCUGGUUAAAAGAUAUUGAUCAAUCUUGUUUUUGCAGAGGUUUUAAAUAAAAAAUAAAAUUUUAAAUCACCUCCAAUUCAAAGCCUUACUCAUAAAUCAUAAUCAAAACUGAAGCACUUGAUCAUCAUAAAGCAUGGGUAUUGCAUAAACAAAUCGAUUACUAAAACUCCACAACUACGAUUUAGAAUUCAAGACAAUGCUCAUAAUCUAAAGUUGCAAAGAUAAAAUAAAAGACAACCAAGCCAAGGUAGACACUAAAAACACUUGCACGAUCCUUGAAUUUUAUUCAUGCUUCUUCUCACAAAGACGCUAAAGUAGCCAUGUAGGCCUAAGUCUUCCCAAAAGCUUAAGAAAACUACUACUUUAUCUACUUUUGGUUGAAAUAAAAAGACUAAUCUAGACUCUCACAUGAUUCGACUCGACCAAAUUAGAUCCAAAAACUCAUACGAGCGACGAUCUCCCCCCCCUCACGCUUAAAAUCUACGACCUCCUCGUCGUAGCCAUAUGGAGUACAAGGAAAAGAAGCUUGUAAACGCUCUAAUGACGCUACCCGCACUACUUGCACACGGGAUGGUUGCUGCUUCCUUCGCUUUGUUCUUCCUCAUGUUGCUGCACAUCCCGAAGAGCUUCCUCACGUUCCUCUGCAAGAACUUGAACUCGUCCUCCUGACGGCGAUCAUUAUCUUCUGCCUUUUGAUCCAGAGCUUGUAAGGCUUGCAUGAUGUCAUCGAACGCAUCGAAGAGGUAGUGGAUGUUCUUCCUGCAAGCUGUGGAACAUGUACGAUCAUGCUCCUCCGAUUCUGGCCCGUCGUCUUCUAGAUCCUUCUCUUUGCCCUUGUCUUGACGGUGGCUAUCUUGCUCCUUGCUCGCCUUCUUGCCUUCAGCCCAAUCCCAGUACGUGUUGUCAUCUUCUUCAUCGUCACGGCCUGCAGCACCCUAUGAUCCAUUGUCUAUCUUGUAUGAAAGAAUCAGAAGCUUGUUCUCCUCAGGGUGUCUUGCGCGGUGCAGCGUUUGCAAGUGCAAGACUUGCUAGUUCCUUUUACACAUUGUAAUGUUCAUUGCAUGCUCUAAUUGUUCUACAUUUGUAAUUUCUUGGUGAAGUUUGGUUACUGAUCCACUGUUUGAUUAACUCUUGGGCCCAAACACUGUACUACUUCUGAUUAGAUAUCUGUAUCUUGACUUUGACCAAAAAAAAUAUCCGGCAGUUUUUGCCAUUAAAGUUUCAUAAAUCAUCUUGCAAAAAUCGUACUAUACAACAAGGGACGGUUUAUUAUAAAAUAUACGUUCCCCUUAUCACAUGCCACUUCCACUCAAAAGGCAACGAAUCAGUUUUCAAUCCUGAGUGAGCAAUUUGCUUUUAUUACCGAUGCCUCCUAUUCCCUUGUGCACCAAGUUUAUUUUGGAUAGGGCUGCAAAAAACGACUAACCAGCUCGGAUUCUCCACCUGCAAAACCGCAUCUGCAGCAACCAACCCCACGCGGUGGAAAAAAAAACAAAACCUAGAAACCGGACGGGGGUGGAUGUGGGGCUCGGAGCCCAAGCAAAAAACGGAUCGGGAGCGCCGGAGCAGGCCAUCACCGGAUGUUAGAGAUAGAAAAUGGUUGAAGUUUGGAGUGGAAAUCAAACAAGCCUUGGAGCAAAGGAAAAAAAAAGAUCAAACCACUCAAGCAUUCAUUUGAUUUAGAAAAGAGAACAUUUGUUAAGGUGGGGAGUUGAAAUCAUCUUUUAAUUAGUUCCACGUAUCUGGUAUCAUUACAGUUGGUUUACUUGUGUAAGUAUAAGUAGCUCUGCCGAAGCCUUUGCUCCUAUAAUUUAGUAACUAGUACAAAUGGAUCAAUAGGAAAAUCAAGUUGCAAUCAUUUCUCAGCCAACCAAACCUAUGUAAAUCAAAUUAUUGUCCAUGCCCGGCAUGCACAGGUGCCUGCCAUGCAUGCAUUGUUGCUCCAUUGUAAUAACCAUUAUUGUCCAUCGAUGUUGCAGCGCAUGUGUGCACUGUGCAGACACCAAGCAUCGAGAUUAUGUACUAGUAAGGUGUUGAAAUAAUGGGCCUAGCCCAUAAGUAAUUUCAGAAUUUCAAAUAAAUCUCAAAGGCCCAUGUGGGCAAGAGGUGGAGUGGUGCAAGUCUUUAGUCCCACAUUGCUAGUCGAGGGGAGGGAUGACCAACUUAAAUAUGGAAGUUGUCUCCACUCCUCCAAGCUAUGUGUGAAGGGCGCGGGCGCGAGGCACUUGCGUGAAUGGUCCGCCGAAAUCUGGCCCCCCUUGCGGGGGCGCGGCUUCCUUUUGCCGUUUUAUUUUUUGGUUACUUGGUCGUUAAGUCAUGGAAUCCUAACCGGUUUAGAUCACGAUCGUGAAGGUUUUUGGGAAGCGCUCUGCGCGACUGCUCGAUCGCUUCUUCCGCUUCGUCAAGUUCUUCGUCGACUCCUUCACCACGGCUCGUCUACCUCUUCGUCGCUCGGGCCUCACUCGUCGUCGCGAACAACGUCAGGCUGCUGAUCGUCGUCGCCUGCUGUAUCCGGUAGUCGUCCAGGAGCCGGUUUUCAUCAAGAAAGAAACGUACGGUCUCUUAACUCACAUUAUGUCUUCCAUACUAGCUAUUAUGAUUGUUGCAGUCUGAUAGCUCUGGAUAGUAUGGUAGAAUGUCUGAUUCUAUUUGCAAUGAUAGACUUGUCUAGAUCUUGCGUAGACAUGUCUAGUUUAAUCUGCUGCUUGUUCAUCAUAUUCAUGAUUUAUUUCUGGAUUAAGUUAAAACUAAAAGUGCUUAUAUAUCCAACAUAAGGUACCAAGAACACGUGAAGCACCCGGGGGAGGCUGCUCCACUCCGCAUGCACAGGUGGGCACGGCACCACUACUCGUCUCCUUCAGGCUGAGGAUAAGUGAUGUACGCUGAUCAACAGACCACGACGGAACCAGCAAUAAUAGUUUCAGCCUGCCUCACAGUAAUUAAUAUAUCCUGUAUCCUCCGAGGACCCCUCCCCUUAAUCUUGGCCUAUUGCAUCCAAUAAUGAUAUGUGUGUUUAUCCAAAUUUACGGCACCUUUGGCGGGGGUUCCACCCAGCUCCGCCCUCUCCACCUUCGGUACUCCAUGGGAAACCAUUCCUUUGGAAUCAAGGAAGCUUGAACAGUAUAACGAAUAAAGUUUCAUAUAUCCAUUUGAUUUCACAUGAAAUAAAAUAUUCUGUCAGAACCAAUGGUUUCACUGAAGCUCCAGGCAGCGAGCGAAGGGGUGAGAGAGGAUAACGCUUACUGUGUGUUACCAUCGCGUGCACCAUGGAUGACCAACGCGCAGCCGAGAUGAAACGGCGGACCUAAACAGGUCCUCGCUAUUUUUGCAGGUUCUCGACCAGGCCAGUUCUUUAGGCCAACCUAUCAUUCACGAGUUAAACAUACGGUGGCUGGAGAAAUGUUCUAUUCUUUUAAACAAUACCAGCUGGUUCCUCCGUUUUUAUUCCACCAAUACAAGCACCACCUUGUAACAUUUCCUAUGUUUUUUUUCCUUUCGUCUGUUUUCUCACUACAUGCGUUGCUCUUUCAUGCAUUUUUUUCCAUUCCUGUAUUCCAAAUAGGUCUACAUGAACACAAAAUGAACUAGGGGACAGAAAAAGCCAGUGAAGUUAGUUUUGAGCUUCACCAGCUACUUGCUACAUAAAGUGUGCUAUAGUCGCAGAAAAGCUAAGCUGGAUCAGACGUGGCCGAAACAAUGCCAAAGAGCUAGGUCCCUAGCUGAUGGCAACACAUCAGAUGACUAGCCUGCUUUUCUGUAAUAAUGAUAUUGAGCAAUACACUGCAUGGCUAACCUGCUUUACAAUAAUUGUCAUUUUAUAAUAUUGGUCAUCACGAGAGAUGCACAUUGCAUACACCGGCCCAUCCCUAUAAAUAGCCAAGCCUUUCAGCCAUCUUGGGCACCUCCUCUCAGGGCCUCGUCUCACCAUCAGACAUCUCGUUCCCAGUUAUAAUUUGCGAGGUUAGAUCAGGCUGCGCCAUGGCGUCCGCAACUGCUGUCAAGAUCGUCGCCACCUUCAUGCUGGUGCUGACCAUGGGCCACCUGAUGGCCGAAGCAUCACCGCAGCCUCGGCGUGUGCUUGCAGAAACGGAGCAUGCUGCGGUGUCCGGGAAUCCUGGCCUCCCAGGUGAUGCUAGCGUCAUGCAGGUCCUCGAACCCGCCCUAGUUUCUCGGCUUGCCUGCAAACCAGAGUGCACAGUCCCUUGGCCUCCUUUUGUAUGUAUCUGCUAGAUCCUCUUCCUGGCUCAACGGAACUUCAGGGAAAUGGCUGUGACGUCGGCCAAAGAAUAAAUUGGAUGAACAUAAUAUACCCCGGGUAGUGUAGCUUGGGCUUUUGUUGAGCGUCUGGUGCUAGUUGUAUUUUGUUUGCUCAUGUGGCUUUGCUUCUGGUUGCAUAUUGGCUUUCCUAUCGCUCUCUGUUGCAGCUAUGGUUUCUGCCAGGUGUGUGUUAAUGCGGUUUGUAAGCGGUGCUUGUUCCUACCUUCUGUUUUCAAUAAAAGAAGUCGGAGUCUCCCUCCGACUCUUGUUAUCAGUCAACAAAAAUGAGUUGUAUCAUAUAUAUCUGCGUCUUUUUUCUACGUAUCUUUGGGCUGCUUCAGCUGGAAGUUUAUCGUAAGUACGUGUAUCAGGAUGAUCGUUUGAAUUAAAACGAAAUGAUAAUGUGUGGCUGCUAGAAAUGGAAUGAGCAUCUUACUAUAUUACUAAUUGGAAGCCUCCACGUGAAGCCACCUAGAAAUUCUAGGUGGACGUUUUAAAAAAAACAAAACUCAUAGAAGCCUCCACCACCUAGGAAUCCUAGGUGGACACUCUAAAAAGAGACAAAUCCUAGAAAUUCUAAAAAAAGAAAAAAAUAAUAACAAUAAGAUUUUUUUGCAGUCAAUUACAUAUAUUUUUUUGAGACACCGUGCUGCUAGCUCUUGCCAUUGCGACCAGUAAAGCAAGCAGAUAGUAAGAUGACAUGCGUGUGGAUUGAUUAAAACAAAUUCAGUUAGUUGAUUCUAAAUCGUAUGUAUCCUAAAAGGAAGAUAUGUGCGUGCAUGGUCCCUAGCGAUGACAUGUAGACAUGUAUUGCAAUUUCUUUUUUAAAAAACAUGUCUAUCUCUAAACCAACAAACAGAAAAAAUAUCAAUCUAAAUCUAAAUCUCUUCCGUUCUCACACGCCUAUUAAAGAGAAGACAACCAAUCCCAUCCAUGUUCCAUAGAAUCCAUCUAAAAGCUUGCUCACUGCGGACGGCAUUUGACGGCAAAUCAAUGAAAGAUCAUCCUCUCCAAAUAGCUGGACGGCAUCACCAUCUUUAUCUCACCAACCUACAGAGCUACAACGAUGUUGUAGAGAUCAACUAGGUAACCUACCAAUCACCCUCCCCUUUUCUAUAUGCUCUAAAGAACACGUGGAGUAAUUAUAGGCCUAUAGGAGCCGACUAACCUAGAUUAAUAUGAAAAAUAUUCCAAUAUUAAAAGCAAGCAGAUAGUAAUACUUGCCUUUGACCAUUUUUCUAGAACUGUUAUUCCUAUUGAAUGUUCAAGUGCUACGGCCAGGCAUCGAAUGCCUGCACGGAACCUUCCUAUUGAAUGGUUACUCUAGAGAUCAACGCACCGCGAGACAUUUUUAUGGAAUUUGUUUGAUUCCCCUUCUACAAUUAGAUUAAUUUUUCAUGGCAUAUAUUACUACUAUUAAAUUAUUUGUUUAUUGUCGGGCCUGCUGCAUGUGUGGUAUAUAUGACUUGCUUCUCACCAUUGUUCUCAAACUAUUAUUCCUAUCGAAUCUUUCUAUCGAAAUAUAUUUUAAUUACUUGAUUGUUGUUUGUGUACCAUAACUUCUGUAUAGAAAAAUUCCAUGUUUGUAGAUAAUGUCUUUUGUAUAGAAAAAUAGCCCAAUUAGAUCCAUCACCAUCUUUUGCUUAUGUAGUUGAACAAGUUGCAAUGUUGAACAAAACUUUAAGUGAAAUUAGACCAGGAAAAGGAAUUGUGGAACAUUAAGGCAAGGGUAACCAGAUUGUGGAAUGCAACCUUACUCAGUAGUGGCGAACAAUUAAGUCUUGACAUGAUCCUUAUUGAUCAAAAGGUAUGAUAGAUGUUCACUUUGAUUGCAUUAUUGGUAUAAUUUUUGGUUUACAAAUUAUUAAUGAUGAUGCAAAAUUAGGGAACCAUGAUCCACGGUGUUAUCAAUAAGCCCUAUAUGAAAAAGUUCAAACCAUUGAUUGAAGAAGGCAAUGUGUACAUAAUUGCAAAUGUCAGAAUCACACCAGAACCACAGAAGUAUCGGCCAGUGGAAAAUGACAGGAUAGUCAACUUCUUACCCACAACUGCACUAAAAACGAUCAAAGAUACUGAAGACAUUCCAAAGUAUAGUUUUAACUUCAUGAGCACGGAUAUGCUUUCAGCAAGAAUAAAUGUGGACAUGUACCUAUUAGGUAAAACAUUACUGGCUUUUCAAUUUUUACACUUCCACUCAUUAAAUGACCAUCUAAUAAUAAUACAUAUUUAUGUUUCAUAGAUGUUAUAGGUAUCUCAGCUCACAUUGGACCGAUAGAAGAAACAAGGACAAACUUCGGAUUUACUAAAAUCCGUGAUAUUGUGCUCCUGAUCGAGUAAUUCUCUUUUCUUUUGUAGAAAACAACUACAAAACUUUCAACAUUUACAUGUAUGUUAUAGAACUUCUGUUGAACUAAAAAAUAUCUUCUACAGUGCCCCUACAAAUAAUUAAUUUCGUAGUUGGAUAUUUAAAAUAUUUAUUAUUCACUUUUAAAUUUGUGGCCAUGAAGUUAAAGUUAGAUUUUGGGGAGACAAAGUUGAGGAAGUUGAUGAUAAGACAAAAUCCCAUGUCAUUGCAAUAACAUCUACAACUGUGAGUAAAUUUGGCAGUAAGUCUUCAUUCAAUAUGAGUUAUUCAAUAUUAGUCAUUCAACAAACUAACCUCGUAAGAAAAAUAAAUAAUUGAUGUUUUAUCAGGGUAUUCUCUAUCGUCAACCAAUGCAACAAAACUUUAUGUAGAUCUACCUAUUCCUGAAACUAAGGAUGCACAUGAUAGGUGAGAAAAAUUAGAUAUUGUUUUUCUAUUUUAAUCUAUGUAGCAUGCACUCUAACAUGAUACAUUCUUUCAUAUGAUAAAAAAAUGUUAGUUCAAUUGAAAAUAUUGUCAAAGAGAUUCAUAUUGAGGACCAUCUAAAAGGGACAUUGGAAGACCAAAUGCAGUACAAUAGAAGAACUUUAGAAGAAUUAAAUUUCAUAUUAUUUGAAACAUCAAAUCAGGUAUGGAUUAGUAUGUUCAUUGUACACUAUACUAUUUAAAGACUUACAUACAUAAUGAUGGUAUUGUUCCUACUUUCAGGAUGAGGUAUUUACUAUUGAAGCAACAAUAAAUGAAAUUAAUGCAACAUAUGGUUGGUUGUCACACCCGAUUUUAAGGACAAAAUUGAGUGCAUUAAAUACAUGUGCACCAGGAUCAAGUUACACACAUCCUAUGAGUACCGUCCUUCUUUGGCACAAAGAUAACCGGUGCUCCCCAUGGUGAUGAACUAGGCCGAAUAAACUAUUUUGCUGAUAAUUCCUCUAGUUGUUGUUUCAAUUCUUUUAAUUGUUCAACCAACAUUCUAUAAGGACGUUUGGAGAUAGGUGCAGUACCAGGUAAAAGAUCAAUAGCAAAUUCAAUGUCGCGGUCAGGUGGCAUACCUGGUAAAUCGUCGGGGAACACAUCCGGAUAGUCACACACCACUUUGAUAUCUUCCAAGGAUUUUCCAGCCAACUGAUUAACUGCACAAUCUGCUGCUGAGGGUAGAGUAGCUACAAACUCCACUUUCUCUCCAUCAGGACCUGUUAGCAGAACUGUCCUCUUGGCACACUGAAUCGUUGCAUCAAAAGCGGCUAACCACCUCAUCCCCAGAAUUACAUCGAUUCCACUGGACUCAAGGACGAUAAGAUCAGCCGGAAACUCUAUACCCAUUAUUCUCAGUUUAACUUGUGGACAGAUGUAUUGAGCCUUCAUUGACCCCCCAGGUGAACUCACUAGCAUAUGACGCCUCAUGGUAUGCAUGGGUAAAUUAUGCUUUGCUACAUAAUGACUAGUGACAAAAGAAUGCGAUGCUCCAGAGUCAAAUAAAACUGAUGCGGGGGCAGAGUUGACAAAGAACAUACCAAGCACUACAUCUGGAGCCUCCUUAGCAGUCUCGGCUUCCAUGUGGUUCACCUUGCCACAAACAAAGCUUUGCUGCCCCUGAUUGCCUUGUGGGGUCUGGUUCCCAUUCCUCGGUUGCUGCAUCUGAUUCUGCCGAGGAGCACUGCUGUUCUGCACGGGGGUAGCUGGCCCACCUCUCUUAGGACAAGAGCUGGCAUAGUGACCAACCUCGCCACACUUGAAGCAGGUAGGACCCACUGGAGCAUUGGGCCUUGUUGGAGUGCCAGUAGGGGUCAUCUGGCGGUUCUGCGUAAAGCUUGGGCGCGGAGUCUGCAUAGUCUGCAUCCCUGGAUGCUGGAACUGAGGGCUAGGGCGCUGGAAUGACUGCUGAGCAGGGCGCGGAAAUGAGUGCUGCCAAAAAUUCCCACUCGGGCCCCCUGCGCGGAACGGCGUCCCUUGCUGUGGAGCAAAGCGAGGGCGGGUGUUGCUUCCUGAAGACUACUGGGAAUUGAAUUUCCUCUUCAUCUCCCCGAGCUCGUUCCUCUUGUGUUCCAGGCCAAUUGCCUUGUCUAGCAUCUUCUGGAAACUGGGGAAGGUGUGCGACAUAAGCUGAUAUUGGAGUGGUCCAAUCAACCCAUCCAAGAAUAGCUCCUGCUUCUGCUCAUCAUCAGCAACAUCUUCGGGAGCAUAUCGGGACAACUGGACAAACUUGUCCCUGUACUCUGCCACUGUCAUGUUCCCCUGCUUGAGAGCAAGGAACUCCUUCUUCUUAAGCUUCAUCAAUCCGGAAGGAAUAUGAUGACUUCUGAAGCUAGUCCUGAAUUCAUCCCAGGUGAUGCCAUUAGCAUUGGCAUGGGUGGUGGUGUAAGCAUCCCACCAAUCAGCAGCUGGCCCUUCCAGGCGUCCUGAAGCAUACAGGACCUUCUCCCUGUCAGUACAUUGGGCGAUAUCCAGCAUCUUCUCCACUGUUUUCAGCCAAUCAUCAGCAUCUAAUGGAUCCGGAGAAUGUGAAAACGUCGGGGGCUUGUGGCUCAUGAACUCCCUAUGCCUGUCCCUUGGCGGCGGCUGCUGCUGGUUGUUGUUGUUGUUAUUGUUCAGCUGAGCUUGUAAAGCUGCCACGGUGUUGGUCAGUCCGGCGAGAAGCUGAGUCUGAGCUGCUAGAAACUGCUCCAUCCCUGCAGGUGCUUGUUGGUUCUGUUGCGGAGCGGUGUUGGGAUUGCUGCUGUUGUCCCUGUGGCGUGGCACUGUGGGACGGUCAACUCCUGAUCCGGACCUGGUGUUUACCAUCUGAGCGUUAGAGACAAUGGAUUUAGAUAGAUGUGUGAAAGAAUAACUGAGAAAGAUAAAGCGACCAGAUGUAAAAGUAACACAGAUUCUGUUAGCUCCAUUUAAUUAGGUGUGGUCGUCAGAAGAAGUGUCCAUAAAUUCUGAACAAUUACCAAGUCGUAACUUAUUAAAUUUGUAAACCAACCCAACUGGAAUCAUCUCAAUCGGACUUCUGGAUCUCGAGUUACAAAAUUAACAAGCUGACAGUGUCGGUCGAUAGGUUCAGAUUCUGAGUGCUUUACUAAUUCGCAUACACCUCCCAGACAGAUACACCAAAAAUUCUGAAAAAUUUACAGAUAGUACUCCACGAAAUUCUGAAACUAACCCCACUGGUUUCAUGUCAUUUGGACUUCUGUAGCUAGAGAUAUAAAUAAAAAAGUACUGGCGUGUCAGUUAAUGUCGAGAACAGAAUUGAAUGUCGCUUAGCUUGCGUGAUGGAUAGAUUUAGACAGAUGGUAGAUCAUGAUUAAGGAAGAUUAAAUACUGAUUUAGAACAGAAAUAAAACCCAACUAAGCACUUUAUUUAUUAAGACCAGUAUCGUGUGGCAAUUGCCCCACAUACCGCACUCAUUACAAAAUCCAACUCAAACAUGUAGCACAAAACCAAUCAUCUAAGCACACUUUAACUAACACACUCGAACGACGUCUAACGAUUACAAGAAUUUAAACUAAAACACUCCUAAUUUCCUAGAGGUCUUCUGCGGCGGUGCCGGGCGAGUCGUAGCGGGGACGCUUAGGCGACGGCGACGAAGCGGGAUGAACAGCAAACUCCUGCGGCGGCGGUGCUCCCGUCGCGGCAGCCAUAUUCGCAUCCCUCUCCCACCGGAGUUCCUGAACCUCCUGUUGAAGCUCCUGGAUGUGGUUGUUUGCUUCAUUCAAUGCGGUGAGAGCUGCCGACGUGUACUUGCGGAGGAAGUCUGUAGCCAUGUCAACCCCAUCGUUAGUAGCGAUGAAGGUUCUUGCUUCCCCACUAGCUCGGUAAGGAAGGAACCGAUGGUAAGUGUGCUGCAAUCGCGGCCGUUCCUUGUGGGAGACGACCUCAAGUGCCCUCCUGGCGGCCUCGGCAAUGCCGGAUUCCAUGGUCCUCCUUAUGGUCACAUCAUGGUGAAAAGCCUUCACCUCCCAUCCUCCCUCGUGCUCCUCACGAAGGACAACCUUCACCUCCCAAAAAGUGGGAUAGCGAGGGUGGGUGAACCGGGAGCACUUGUAGAGUGGCCUCAUGCCGUACCCCAAGCGGUGACAAGUCCACCUGAGUAUGUCGGCCAUGUGCACUCCUUGGCCAUAAUCUUCCUUCACCCAUUUGAUCCAUGUCUCGGGCUCGGGAUCUGCUUCGGGCUCAUCAUCCGUCAAGUCGACGACCGGUACGGGCGUCGGGGCUGGUGCAGGAGCGGGCGCCGGUGCUGGCGACGGUGCUGGUGACGGCGUGGUCUCCUGCUCCACGGUCACGGCGUCCCCGUCAGAGUCAUCCCCCGGAUGCUGGAAGAUCUCUUCCUCUUCUUCCUCGUCCCAAGGCUCCAUGGGGGCGUACGACGGCGCGAUGCCAUGACGCGGCGGACGGGUGCUCUUGCGUGCGGUCAACCGGGUGCGAGCCAUCUAACAGAAAGAAAGAAGAAAAUUUUAGAAUAAAAUUUUGAACAAAGCUAGAUAAUAAAAUAGCAAUAAGGAUGAGACAAAUCAAGUUUAAGAAUAAUUAAGUAGAUUUAAAUUAAGAAAGGUAGGAAUGGCUACUAGAUUAUUAUAAUCCUUAAAUACGACCAUUUUCUAACUAGGCUAACGUCCUACAGUCAACACGGCUCUGGUACCACUUUUGUCACACCCGAUUUUAAGGACAAAAUCGAGUGCAUUAAAUACAUGUGCGCCAGGAUCAAGUUACACACAUGUACGACAAUAGUGAAUAGUAAAGCCAGUGCUAAAUCGAAUAAAGAGAGUAUUAACCAUUAUUACAUGACCGAAUGUCUCAAAUAAACCACAAAGUCUAAUUAUUACGCAGCGGAACUCCAAAGAUGACGACGACUCCAUAGGCAGCUGACUGAAGAAACGUACGCCUAGAACUCCUCGAAGUCGUGGAAGUACUCCUCUUCCCAAUUAACUUGGUCUGAACAGCGGUUUUGCAAGGGUGAGUACACUUAUGGUUGGUACUCAACAAGUCGUGGGAAGUAGUGUAGUGUAAGGCUAAUUCAAGGUAUGGCUAAGGCGUAAAUAGCAUUCGCUUUUAAUUAAGUUGGUCAAAUUUUAUUAGCAUUUACUAAGUAUAAGUUCAUACCACCCGAAAUUAAACAUGAACAUAAAGUAAACCACAUGUGCAUGAAAUGAUAACAAAUUAAAUCCAUCUUCCGAUAAUAUUAUCAUGUGAGGGUCCAGGCCGCUCUUAACCGUGAGCACGGCUGAUUGAUCAGUUUAACACUCUGCAGAGGUGGCACAUCUUUACCCACAAGUCGCGUAAAAGUUCAAAAGAACUUUGGACCCAACCAUGCGGUGUUUGCAAGGCACCAUACCACACUUCCGAGGUGUGAUUGCAUAGGGACGCUACGAGGCCUUUACAAAGAUUCAUUAAUCAGUGGUAACCCGCUAAGGUUUCGGUGUCUGGCGUGCACCACCCAUCCCAGGUAAAAUGCAACGACUCAGUCCCCCCCCUUGAAUCAUCACGAGUAAGGUCACCCCAGACUAAGGUUUCUAAUUAAUCAGCCAAGACCAGAGCUAUUUAGUCUUGUGGUAGCACUGUUUUCCUGGGUGGUCGCUCCAUGUUCUGAUUAACAAAUAAUGAUCUUGUCUUAAUGAAAGGUAUAACAGAAAUAAGGCAAGAUUAAGCAUUGUUUUUAGUUAAACCACCAUGUACCAAGUAAGCACUAAGCAUGAGCUACCCAACAUAAAGUAAACCGGUUGGUCAAGGCAAAGGUAAAACAAUCUAGGCCAACCUUAAUUGGGACCCAUCAAUUUAAUCUUAAUAUGUGCACAGCAUAAAUGUUGAGUACGAGAAAGUAAAGGUGUAUAGGACAAAAAGGUAGUGAUCAAGGACACGACUUGCCUUCUUGGCCUUGCUCCUGCUGUUCGUACUCCUCGAAGGCUUGAUCGGCAACUCCCUCGAACUGCGGGGCGUCUACACGCAUCACACGAGCACAUACAAGCAAACAUGGGCAAAAGUAAGAAAACAGUAUACCAAACAUAGUCAAACAGAGAAAACAAGCUUGAAAAGAUGAUCUACGCUUUAAAACGAACACGCGGAUAUAAAGAACGCGAAAAACGGAGUUAAGAUGCAAAAGAUAUGAUUAAAACAAAAUCCAGGGACUUUUCUGUAAGAAAAACAAAACUUUUAGGGCCUAUCCGCGAAAACCGAGGGCUUAUACGUAAUUAUGCGUAUAAACCGAGGGUCUGAUGCGUAAAAACAUCAAACCCGGACGGCGGGUUGAUUUCUGGAAAGGUCAAGGGUUAAACCGAAAAAUGCGAGGGCAGAUCUGUAAAUACUUUCAACGCGAUCUGGACCGCGGGUUGAUUUGCGAAAAAGGCGGGGGCUAAAGUGCAAAAACUGCACGGCGCGGCUCGGUUGACCGGUACGCGAUCUUGAUUGACUCGCGUCCGGCCGUCGGAUUAAGAUCCGACGGUCGCGGUGAUCCGCGACAUCGCGGCGGCGGCGGCGAGCGGCGGCGAGCGGCGGCAAGCGGCGGCGGGUCGCCGGAGUUAGGCAAAAUAGCGCCACGAGGCACGGUUUAACGCGCGGGUUGCACCAAAAAAGAGAGGGGAACACGUCGAUCCCGUUUUGGGGGUUCUUGUCGACGGGGGCUCACCGGCGACGGCGAACGGCGGCGAGGAAGAGGCGGCGGCGCUAGGAGCUCGGGCGGCUAGGGUUUCGGGGAGCUGCGGCGCUGGUUUUGGGCGGAGGAGACUGGGAGGAGGCGGCGGCUUUUAUAGGGCUUGGAGAUAGAGCCGGCGCGGGUUCAAAUCCCCCGGAGGAGUCGGAGCGGAUGGAGUCCGGGGCGGAGACGGCGCGCGGCGGUUGCGGAGUUCUGACCGGAUUCGGCCGGAGGUGGGAGACGAUGGGUGGGGUCCACCCGUCAGUGGCGGAGGGGAGCGGUAGACGGGCCGGCGCGACCGUGGGCUGGCGCGCGCUCGUGGGCUGCGGGGAGCGGGAGAGAAGCGGCGAGCGGGCGCUGGCGGAGCAGGCCGAGCGGAGGUAGAGCUGGGCCGCGGAGAAAAAGGAGGAGGCCGGCGGGCUGCUUCGCAGGCCGGUAAGGAUGAGGCGGCCGGGCCGAAGAAGAAAAAGAAAAGGAGGGACAAGGAGCUUUCGGCCGAGGGAAAAGAAGAAGAAAAAGAAAAGGAAGAAGAAAAGGGAAAAGGUUUUGGAAUUUGAAUUUAAAUCUGAAAUUCAAAAUUUGAUUCAAACUCAAGCAACCAAAAAUUAUGCUCCAGCAUGAAUGCACAAAUAAUUCCUAUGAUGAAUUAAUUGAAUUAAAGAAAAUGAAUUUAAAUGCCUAGAAAUUAAAUAACACCCUAAUUUGAGCAAAUUUUAAUGAAUUUGAAUUAUUGAAAUUUUGGGUGUUACAUUGGUACUACAUCUCAUGUAGUAGAGGCGAUUGUAAGAAGCAACUUGAAAAGAAGUUUGAUCACUACUAUUGCAAUAAAUGUGACAAGAGAGCCGAACCUAAAGCCCAGUAAAUUAUUUAGUAGUUUACAAUCUUAUUAUAAUACUUCUAUUUCUAAUAGGAGAAUAAUAUUUUCAGAUUCAAAUUAAGCUUCAAAUAAGUGAUCCAACAACAAGUGCAACUUGUGUACUUUUGACAAGGAAGCAGAAAUGAUAAUUAAUGAAUGAGCAGAUUCGAUGAUCACCUCAGUUGAUCAUGAUAAUAAGUAGCUACCAAAAUCAAUUCAGGAAAUAUGUGAAGAAACAUUGAUUUCUCAAUUCAGAUUGACCGAGUACAACUUGACAAGUUUUAGACCUGAUUAUACUGUUUCAAAGAUAUUUUUUCCAAAAGAAAAGGGCAGUUCAAGAAUUGGUAUGGAAAGUGUAAAAAAGGUAACACUUUAUUAUUAAUUUUUUAUUGCACUUUUUUCUUUUGAAUCCGUAAUACUUAAUAAUUUUACUAUAUCAAUGAAACAAAUUCUAACCUAAAUUUAUUUUCUUUUUUAUUAUUUGUAGGAAGUAGAAGACAACUCAGACAAAUGCUACACGAUAACUACCGAGAAUGAAGAGGUAGACACUGAUGACUCUUUUACCGAGAAAGUAACAUUCGUAGAAGAAGCCAUAAGGACUGGGGAAAGAUUGGCUAGAAAAGUAUACUCACUUCCAUGUCAGUGUUCAUUCUAUUUACAAUACAUGCAAAAAAAAUAUUAUUCAUGCAAAAUUGCAGGUCUACUAAGCAUUAAAGGAAUAGCGGAUAGUGCAAUAUGUAAUCUGAGCAGCAUGCAUUACAAAGUGCUCUACUGCAAUUAAAUUAAAAAACAUGAUAUAUGUUGAAUUCUUAGACUUUAUUAUUAUACUUUUCUACGUGACAAUUCACAAUUUUUUAGAAAAAAGAAGAUCCCAGAAGAAGUGACCAUGAAAAAAGGUCUAUGACCAGCAAUAAGAAAAAAUGCAAGCAUAGAAACAAAUCCGUAGAAAACAUAGAAAAUAAGGUACUCCAUAAACAAAAGUAUUCUCUUAUAUUUUUAUUAAAUAUUUUUUUAACACUUGACAAGUUCUUUUUUAGGAUCAAUAUAUCAGCAAUUCAGAUGUCAUUGGAGAUGAAACCUUAGUUCAUCCAAAAGGUCAAAAAAAAACAUCUGAAGAAAGGUGUUUGGCUGAAAAGGAAAAGCAAAAAAGUGGUAAUGCAGACAAACACAUGCAGAAAAAUAUAAAAACAUGUCAUAGGGAGGCAGACCAAUCUUGCAAGGAGGUAUAGACGAAACGUGAUACACGACCUGCCUACCUUGUCGUGGAUACCCCAAGAAGAUGUCAUAGAGGUGCAGACCAAGCUAGCAAGGAGGUCGAAACGUGAUACACGGCCUGCCUACCUUGCCGUGGAUAUUAGCCCUGAGAUCAUUCUACUGUUCAAGGAAUAACACUCAAUGCUGCUGCUGCUGCUGACCUGGCUCCAUAAAGUUAUACUCCUCUAGGUGCUUGCACUAACUUUAUCUGAAGUAUUAUUCUCUCUGCACUGUAUAUAUGGUUAUGGAGUUUGCUGGAGUAUCCGGGGCGAAGAACCUACAUAAUACGUCUUGGAACUAAUUGACAUUGAUUCACAGACAAACUCUACAAGGUGCUGUUCUUGCCAUUUUAGAGCAUCCAAAGGACUAUAAAUAACAUAGUUUACCAUAUACCAUAUACCAUAUACCAUAAUAUGUUAGCUAAAAUAAGAGCAUACACAUGUUGCAGGAGUCCAAAAGCACCGGUUGAGGACCAGGUACAUUGAAUUACUAGAAAAAGACAGGGGACAAGGUUUAGGUAACCACAUGAAACAUUUGAAUUUAUUGUACUAUGAACACUUAGUUACCAUGCCAGGAGCACAUAGUUAACACUAACAUUUAGCCACUUUAGAUCAUCCCGAAUCACCAAUGACCCUCAAUAGUGACAAAUUUUGGUUUAAAUGCCAUCACCAAUGAUCCUCAAUAGUGACGUAUUUAGGUUUAAAUCCCGUCACUAAUAACCCUCAAUAGUGACCUGUUUUGGUUUAAAUCUCAUUACCACUGAUCCUCAAUAGUGAUGUGUUUUAGCAAAACAUGUUAUCAAUGACUUGUCAUUGGUGACGUGUUAAAACGCGUUAUCUCAAUGGCAAAUCAUUGGUGACGUGUUAUCUCAAUGUUAUCAAUGUUCUAUUCUUUUCAACAAUACCAGCUCGUUCCUCCGUUUUUAUUCCACCAAUACAAGCACCACCUUGUAACAUUUCCUAUGUUUUUUUUCCUUUUGUCUGUUUUCUCACUACAUGCGUUGCUCUUUCAUGCAUUUUUUUCCAUUCCUGUAUUCCAAAUAGGUCUACAUGAACACAAAAUGAACUAGGGGACAGAAAAAGCCAGUGAAGCCAAUUUUGAGCUUCACCAGCUACUUGCUACAUAAAGUGUGCUAUAGUGACGUGUUUUAGCAAAACAUGUUAUCAAUGACUUGUCAUUGGUGACGUGUUAAAACGCGUUAUCUCACUGGCAAAUCAUUGGUGACGUGUUUUAAAAAAACAUGUCACCGUGAGAGUCAUUGGUGAAGGGUAAUUAAAAUGCGUCACUAAUGUUGUAGCAUUAGUUAUGAUAAUUUAGUAACGCAAAAAUCUACCAUCAGUAUUGAGCUUUAGAGCCAUCGCUAAUGUGGGUUUCUUACAUAGUGAUGCAAGCUCUACAAGGUGCUGUUGCUGCCAUUUUAAAGCAUCCCAUGACUACAUGUUAAUAACAUAGUUUACCAUAUAUCAUAAAAAUAUUAGUUACAAUAAGCACAUACGCAUGUGGAAGAGUCCGAAUGCACCGGUUGAGGACUAAACACAUUGAAUUACUAGAACCAAAUGUAUGUUUAGAACAAAGACAGGGGUCAAGGUUUGGGUAACCGCAUUAAAAACAUUGGAUUUUACUGUACAUGAACACUUAGUUACCAUUACCAUGCCUUGAGCACCUAGUUACAACAAACAUUAAUUUAGCCACUUUAGAGCUUCCAGAAUCGCUAUAAAUAAUAUACCUACGCCGUACCAUGAAAACAUCAAGAAGAGAGACGGAUACAUGGACCACCAUCAAGCGAGUAGUGACAGCACGCACAAGAAUACCCGGAACCUGUUAGCUUGUCUGUAGUGAUCUGUUUUCUUCCCCAUAAAAUCCAUGAGUAUUGCCACAAAUAAUGAAAGAGGCUGACCAAGCUAGCAAGGAGGUAGAGCAAACGUGAUACACGGCCUGCCAAGAUUGCCCUGGAUACGCCAAUAAGAGCGACAGAUACAUGGAUCACACCAAUAUGGUGAAACGUAUAUUCAUCACACAAGCAAAGCUGGUCAGUUUAUCCAUGGUCAAAUUGUGGUCUUUGUUUUCACUUGAGAGCUAAUUGAGGCACUAUAAUAUGGGCAGGCCUAUCUUCAACAGACAUGACAGCUACAGGGAACUUGACAUAAUUUGCUGGGCCGCCUGUGCACAAUUAUUUGUUUUAUUGUCCUUGCAUAGAAUGCUAAAAUACUCUUUACAAAAUGUUGGAUCUAAUAUUUGAAAUAUAGAGUAGUAAUCAUAUAUUGAUCAACAACUUGAAAUUAUCUGUACAUUCUCGGUGAAGCUGUUGAACUAAUUUUUGCAAAUUAUUAAUUCAUCUCAUUACGUAAAGAAAAAAGUAAGUGGAUAAGAUAUUUCGUGGACCACAUCACUGCAAACAUGUCAUGGAGAGACAGACCAAGGAGGCAGGACGUGAUACACGACUUACCCUAGGUUGCCGUGGAACCGCCAAGAAGAGAUACAGAUACAUGGACCACACCAUCUUGGGAGUAGUGACAGCAUAUAUGCAGAAGAAUACCCCGUGCCUAUUUGCAUGCAUGUCUCAAGUGAUCUGUUUUCUUCAGAAAAUACAUGAGCAUUGCCAGAAAGAAUGGCAAGAGACAAACAUGUCAUAGAGACUUGCAUGUCUUGCCUUGGAUACGCCAAGAAGAGGGACACAUACAUGGAUAACACAAAUCUAGUGACACGUAUAUUCAUCACAAAGGCAAAUCUGAUAAUUUUAUCCAUGGAGCAGACCAAGGAGAAAUUGAUGACGGACAUGUGAUCUCUGUAUUCAGUUGAAAGCUAAUUGAGCUACACUAAUAUGAGCAGGACUAUAUUCAAGAGACUUGUUGAGAGCUACAGGGAACUUGUAAUAAUUUGCUGGGCGGCCUGCGCACAAUGAUUUGUUAUACAUAGUUGAAAUAUUUCAAGAAUUUAUCAACCUCAUACUCUGAAACCCUUGGUGCAAUGUACUCUGCUUUCCGAGGUAGACUGUUCACGUAAAAUGAGGUCAUGCGUAAGACGGAAUCGGAUUGGAUUCACAGGGAAUCAGAUUUGGAUAGCACCUUUUAGCAGGUUUUUAGUCAAAUGCAAAUUCGGAUCCACAUGUGGUUGAAUGCGAGUUCAAAAUUCUACUUGGAUAUCCAUUUAAUUUAGGUGAUAGCAAUUAGCACAAAAUGUUGGAUGAACAAAAUCAUAGUUAGACAUACAAUUACAUGUAUGGUUAAAGUAUAAUACAAUACACCAAGAUUAUUCCUUGAAAAUAUUUCUUAAAAAUAUUAUAAUAAAUGAAUAAAUAUAAUUGUGGCCACCAACAAAUAGUCGGUGGUCGCUAAGUUGGAGCCAUUUCUGGUUACUAAUGCGGCCUUCUCCUCGACCAGCGACGACAGCUGAGCUUGUUCCUUCUGACACUAAAUCAUCAGAGUCUUCCCUCCACUACUAUAGAAUGCACCUUUAGCACCAAUUGGGAAAUCCCCUUCAGUAUUGGAUGCUGCAACCAGUGCUAUAUAUCAAAAUGGAGACUAAAAGCCUCGGUCUUGGGUACCGGUUGCAUAACGCAUUACUAAAGGAGGCAAAAGAGAAAUGUAACAAAAAAAAUAUUUUGAAUUCCAAGAAUGUUUCACUAUUCAAGAUGACUAGCUGAGAGUCAACAGACAAGAUACUAGGAAUGUGGGUGCUUGAAUGCAUUUGUACAGAGGUCAUACUAUUUACAAACUCUUCUAUGUUUCCAUAUGACUACCUACUUCAAUGUCACGCGAGCCAUUCAGCUGGACACAUGGCACACUAGCUUGCAUGUCGAAUCCAUGAUUAAUUAUUUGCACUUGUGAUCUCUUACCAGUAUUUGUCCAGACUAGAAACGUGCAACACAUUUUUAGGAUAUGGACACGCAUAUAUUUGGACUAGUAUACAGGUCACCUUUGGAUGCGUACAAGGAUGACCGGGAGGGACUAAUGGAUACAAGGAAGGGACCAUCAGGAUUAAUAUUGACAUAUGCCACAUGACAAUCUUCAUUGUCAUGCAAUCCCUAUCAACAAUCAUGGAAUCCCUAGUGUACUAAUCCCUGGAGGGUUGUGUGGAAAUUUAUUUUACCUUGCGGUGAAAAUCUCAUGAGCAGUCAUUAGUUAAGCUGACUAGCUGAGAUAUAAUAGACAAGCUAGUAAGAUUGGGAGCAUCAAUGCAUCCAUACAGGGUCACAAUAUCCUUUCCAUUCACUUUUAUAUAUAACCCUACGAAUACAAGUCCAACGAAAUGCGGGCCUUUCGAUCAAGAUAAAUUAAAUGGCCCACUUGUAUUUCUAAUCCAGGAUUAACUAUGCCCUCUGUUCAUCUCUUGCAAGCACGUGCAACACAUUUUCACGAUAUGGACAUGCAUGGAGGUUAUUAUACUGUUUGGACAAACUCUGAUGUGCCAUGACCUAAAUGCUUAGGGCCUGUUUGGUUUGAGUUGCUUAUUAUAAGCAACUUAAAGUUGCUUAAAGUUGCUUAUUUGAAGUUGCUUAUUUUUAGUCUAAACUGUUUGGAUACCCUUGCUUAUGAGCAUUGAAUGAGUUGGACAUUGUCAAAUUUGCCCCAUGUGUUGCUACCCCUCCAAUUUGCCUCCCCACCCUUCUUCUUCCUGCACACGUCCGAUCCCGGGGGCCGACGGCGGGCAGGGAGCAGCAGCAGCUGGCCAGGGCGGCGGUGGGGCGGGAGCGGCGGCGCACACCAGCACGCGCUCGCACGCCAGGUGCUAGGGCGCGGCGAGGCAGUCGUCGUAGCCCACCGGGAGCGGGUGCUCGGGCGCGAGGCGGUACUCGACGGAGAUGCCGAGCGUCGGGCGCGCGGCGGCGAGCGCGUUGAGGAAGCGAUGGUAGUGCGGCGACGUCGCGGACUCCGCCACGAAGCCGCCGCCGUGGACGUACACCACCACGGGCAGCUUCGUCUUGCCGUCGGCGGCCGCGGCCGCGGCCUGGGGUGGCAGGUAGAGGCGGACGGAGCAGGAGCCGAGGUCGACGUCCCUGGAGUCGACGCCCGUGGCGGCGUCCAGGCUGGGCCCGACCGGCGGCGGCACGAGCGGGCGCUCGAUGCGGCCGCUCUUGUAAAUCCGACGGGUCUGUGCGGAGGCGGGCGGCGGGCGGGAGCGGCGGGUGGGAGCGGCGGCAGGUGGUGCGGAGGCCGGCGGCGGCGGGUGGCGCGGAGGAAGGGGAGCUGGUGAGUGGUGACAGGGGAGGGGGGGAGAGAGAGGGGGGGUAGGGUGCAUUGAAUGAGGGCAGGAGGUGUAAAGUGCACCUUUUAGUCCCCAUGAGCAACCAUAAGCAGCCCAAGAGUUGCUUAUUUGCUUAUAAUAAGCAACCUCAUAAGCAAGAGUGAUUGGUUUCAUAAGCAACUUAUUUGCUUAUUUUAAGUUGCUUAUGCAUAAGCAUGUGAAACCAAGCAGGUCCUUAACCUAUGGUUGUGGCACCACACAGUACAUAGUAUUUAAUAAUGCUAUUCGUUUGGUAUGUGCACAAGGGCACGCAUGAAAUGUCUGGCCCACGGUAAACAAGUACGGACGCUGCAAAUAAUCUACUCUGCUCGUCCAGUCCCUAGCCUAUAAAUAGAUGCCAUGCUAGCUCUUGUUGUGCUCACAAUUAAUCCUGACUACACACGAGCUUCUCUCCCUGGCCAAGACACAAUCAUAGUAUGAUGAAGAACAUGGCACUAGCCGGCAAUGGUAUGAAGAACUUAAUCCUCGCUGUUCUCUUACUGUGUCUAGUUAUAGGGCAGAUACAAGUGGAAGCUAAGAGCUGCUGCCCAUCCAUUACUGCAAGAAAUAUCUACAAUGCCUGCCGUAUCACGGGUACAUCCCGUCCAACGUGUGCAAAACUGUCAGGCUGCAAAAUUAUCAGCGGGGACAAAUGCAAGCCCCCUAACGACCACCUCACCCUUGACCCGGACACUGGUAAAUAAUAAAUUUAUCUCACUUGAUUUCUUCGUGUUUUGAGUCGUUAAUGUAUUUUCCAUCUGAUGAAACGUAUUGGUUUUGCAUUGAAGAGGAAGUUAAUGUGCUUAACUUCUGCAAGUUGGGGUGUGCGUCGUCUGUGUGCAACAACAUCAACGCUGGUAAGCACCUUUUGCUCAGACGGAGAAAACAAUAAUCAUUAAUUAGCGGCAGCUAGAAUCCUAUAAUCUAAUAUAUUUAUAUAUAUAUAUAAUUUUAUCAGCUCUGGGAAAUGAAGAGGCGAACGAUGCCGUUGAGAGUUGCGACCAAGCCUGCUCUAGCUUCUGCAACGUGCACGUUGGCGCUGCCACCGUGGUUGCUUAAGCAAAUGCAUCCAACUGGAUCGUCCUUGUGCUAAAUAAUUGGAUAUCGUAUCCACUUAAAGCUGCCUUGUGUAGUACGUUUUUGUUUGUGUCUCUCUUUAUAUUCCAAUAAGGUCGGUGAUCUUGAUGCCACACACUCAGACGUGUGUUCAUCUCCAGAUACUACUCCAUGCUACCUGCCCUUUGUGUUUUGUUCAAUAACUGGGUAUCAUAUCCCAGCCAGUGUGCCAUCUGUUUUGUGUUUAUUUCCUUCUAGUUUCAAAGGGGUUAUCAUGAUGUUACCUUCUUUCGAUAUGGUGCUUUGCAUGACUACUGUUGUAUGGUACCAUCUUGUUGGCCAAUAAAUACAUCUUAUCCUAUGACCCUUUGCUAUGACCCUUUGCAAAUAAGUACAAGAUUGUUAAAUACUCGGUAUAAAUUGACUACUGCUGUGAGUUCCCUUUCAGCUUAUCGUAGGCAUACAUUAUUGCUAGCACGGUGAAGACAACCAACACGAAUGGUCAAGUAAACGUACCGGUACUUUUGUAUACCAACACCCUUGCUUAAAUGUACCGGUGUUACUCCCCACUAGCACAUAUAUUCUUAUAUGCUAGCCGGCUUGAAAAUUAACCGAUUAAAAUAAUUAUUUCAAGACAGAAAUAACUUAUCGGCUUCUCGAAGCAUGUGUAAUGUGAAUUCAAGGACUUGAUGGAAGUUGAAUCGCUUAAUCUAGAUUGCUUUCAGGAUUUUGGGUAACUAAAUUUAACAUUUGCACAUACAAAUGUUAAUGUACAAAUAUUAAAUAUAGUUACCCAAGCAGAAUAUGAAGAUACUCUAUAGUAUAUAUAUACUAUAUAAAUCUAGUUAACAUUUAGUCUAAAUGUUAAAUCUAGUUACCUAAAAUCCUGAAAGCAAAAUGUAUAAAUAUAUAUCUUUUAAGGAAUCCCAAAGCAAGAGUUCAGUGGCAUUCUAUAGUCCCAUGCUGCUAGUUUGAGUUGGUCGAAGCCAACUUAAAUAGGAGAGCUCUCUCACUUCUCUAAAUACGUAACUGAAGGAGAGAAGGGGGCUUGGUUACACAACGCACGCACGCACGCAUAUUUGCGUUCUUUUCGCGUAACCAACCGCGUGACUUGAAACUUGCGACGUAGCGUGCUGCCAAGUCAAGUUGAUAUAACCUUUUUGCCGUAGGCGUGUAAUCUUUUGACAACGGUCAUUGGAGGUGAUAAGCACGCAGUCAAUACCUUAAUCCUGAG